UCCGCUUCGAGAUCCUCGAGACGAUCGCCACGCUUCUCAACGCCAACGUGACACCUUGCCUACCGCUUAGGGGCACCAUCACCGCGUCCGGUGACCUCGUCCCGCUUUCCUAUAUUGCGGGACUGGUAACCGGCCGCCCAAACUCCAUGGCCACGGCUCCAGAUGGCACGAAGGUUAACGCGGCAGAGGCAUUUAAGAUUGCCGGCAUCCAACAUGGCUUCUUCGAGCUGCAGCCCAAGGAAGGCCUUGCCAUGGUGAACGGCACGGCAGUGGGCUCAGGGCUUGCAUCCAUGGUCCUUUUCGAGGCUAACAUCCUUAGCCUUCUUGCCGAGGUCCUGUCGGCCGUCUUCUGUGAGGUCAUGAACGGCAAGCCAGAGUACACUGACCACUUGACCCAUAAGUUGAAGCACCACCCUGGGCAGAUCGAGGCAGCCGCCAUCAUGGAGCACAUACUUGAAGGCAGCUCCUACAUGAUGCUUGCUAAGAAGCUCGGCGAGCUCGACCCAUUGAUGAAGCCAAAGCAAGAUAGGUAUGCACUCCGCACGUCACCGCAGUGGCUUGGUCCUCAGAUUGAGGUCAUUCGUGCUGCCACGAAGUCUAUUGAGCGAGAGAUCAACUCCGUCAACGACAACCCACUCAUCGACGUCUCCCGUGGCAAGGCUAUUCAUGGUGGAAACUUCCAGGGCACACCAAUCGGUGUGUCUAUGGACAACACCAGGCUUGCCAUUGCCGCGAUUGGCAAGCUCAUGUUUGCCCAAUUCUCAGAGUUGGUGAACGACUUCUACAACAACGGUCUUCCUUCCAACCUCUCCGGUGGGCGCAACCCAAGCUUGGACUAUGGCUUCAAGGGUGCCGAGAUUGCCAUGGCCUCGUACUGCUCCGAGCUCCAGUUCUUGGGCAACCCUGUGACCAACCAUGUCCAGAGCGCAGAGCAGCACAACCAAGAUGUCAACUCUCUUGGCCUCAUCUCCUCAAGGAAGACUGCCGAGGCCAUUGACAUACUGAAGCUUAUGUCCUCAACAUUCUUGGUCGCGUUGUGCCAAGCUAUCGACCUCCGCCACCUAGAGGAGAAUGUCAAGAAUGCCGUGAAGAGUUGUGUGAAGACUGUAGCUAGGAAGACACUGAGCACCAACAACAAUGGUCAUCUCCACAAUGCACGCUUCUGUGAGAAGGACUUGCUGCUCACAAUCGACCGUGAGGCGGUGUUUGCUUACGCAGAUGACCCUUGCAGCGCCAACUACCCACUGAUGCAGAAGAUGCGUGCAGUCCUCGUGGAGCAUGCCUUGGCCAAUGGUGAGGCUGAGCGCGAUGUGGAGACAUCGGUGUUUGCUAAACUUGCCAUAUUUGAACAGGAGCUCCGUGCAGUGCUUCCAAAGGAGGUCGAGGCUGCCCGAGGUGCCGUAGAGAAUGGUACUGCUACACAACAAAACCGUAUCGCUGAGUGUCGAUCAUACCCUCUCUACCGGUUUGUGCGCAAGGAGCUUGGAACUGAGUACUUGACCGGGGAGAAGACUAGGUCUCCCGGCGAAGAGGUGGACAAGGUGUUCGUUGCUAUGAACCAGGGCAAGCACAUUGACGCACUACUUGAGUGUCUCAAGGGGUGGAACGGUGAGCCCCUACCUAUCUGCUGAGGAUCAAGAACUUGAAGAGAAGAUAGAGUACUUUAAAGUUCAAAAGGCUUGAGAUGUUCUUAGUUGAUAAGUGAUAAUACUGUUUUUCAUUGGAUUUCCUUAGAAGUCGAUGUUUUGUAAUGUUCUUACAGAGCUGCCAGGUUGUUGCCAAAAAUUGCAAUUGCAUGCUUUGGUAGUGAUAGGUAGCCACUAGAACUACUAUGAUGCAAGUUAAAAGGAUACAAUGUGUGAUAAAUAUUCAUGAUAAAUUUACUUGUCCCUUUUUUGAGAUCAAUGGUCCAGUGGUUCUUGAGACAACUUCAAACAGUGCAAAGAAUUUAUUGUGUUUUCUUAACUGCAAAGAAUCUAUUGUUGGCAUGUUAUAUGGUGUGUGGAAGCCACGCAUCAAGAUAGACCGCAGACCAGAAAGUUAAAAUAGUUCCUACAUAGUCACUAGUCGGUUGUAUCCCUACAGUGGCUAGUUCCAUCAACACGAUGUGAUGGCUUCUCUUCUUUGUCGUAACCAAGUGUUGCUAUUUACCAAUUUGAGUCUACGAUGUUGUCCGACUUCACUUGGUGAUACAGACAUAUUUUAGAUAAAUAAUUUUUUUAUUUAUGAUUAAUCACGAGCUUUCUUCAAUUCUCUACCUUCUGAAUAAUAACUGGCCUUUUCCCUUUGAAGUUUCAUUUUUUAUCCUAGAAUUUCACUAGCUCCCAGUUCCCACUUUGAUAUUGAAAAAUAUAUACUCUAAUGUCUUCAUGUUUUUUCUUCUCAUUUUUGAGUUUUUUAUUUUAAUACUCUAUAUUUUCAUCAUAUUUCCAUGAGUCGUGUUAUUUAACUGAAGUUAGAGAUCACAUAAUAUUAUGUCUAUACUACUAAAACAGAAAGAUCAAAAUUGUCUGAUGUUAUAGCUUAGAAACCACAACCCGCAGAAAAAAAGGCUUAGAAACCACUAAUAAAUUCAAUUUUCAAUAGUAAUAACGGGAAGACAAAAAUGCAUCUUUGAAAAAAUGGAGAUAGGAGGAGAAGACGGAAGCACUGACGUUAGCAAUCCUACGGCCGCCAUUAGUUGCAGCCAGGCCAAAUAGCUUGUAUGGUUUGCCACUGUAUCAGUUGAACUACAUGUCGCACUCUCACCAACCCAUCGAGGGAACGCAUGUCUAAGGGCAUGUUUGGUUUCAAUAAGUCACCUGACUUAUAAGUUAGGUAACUUAAAACCAGUGACUUAUAAAUCACGCCUGUUUGGUUAUCACCUGAUUUAUAAGUCACCUGACCACACCUUUCCAUCUUGUUUUUUUAUGUAAAGGUGAUGGGACCCAUGUAAAAGAGGGUGACUUAUAAGUUUUAAGUUGGGAUGGAGCAACUUAUGACUUAUAAGUUGGGGUGACUUAUAAGUUGGGUCUGCUUGGCAAAAUAAAUCACUUUUUUCACUUUUCGACUUAUAAAUUGGUGACUUAUUUGGAACCAAACAGGCCCUAACGAGGGUUGGGCGCCUAGCUGGGUUGAAGCUUAGGGUUGGUGAGAUUCUUCACCGUAUGCACGUCCAUGGCCAAUUAUUGUAUAAGUUCGUAAAAAAAAAUCUGUCUAUACUAUAACCAUGGUCAGGGUUGGUAAUUCUCAGUCAACAAAUUGAUUGUUGAUAAUAAGCGGAGUUGUUGGCAAUCAUUGACAAUGUCAAACAUCAACGUGCUGGUCAAACAAGUCAAAUAUAAACAGAGUUGGAAACUAUGCAUGCUCGUAUGCUGCAUAGUUCUUGAGUUGGCUUUGGCUUUAUGCCCUCAGACUGGUGUAAAUGUACCUCAAUUAGCCGGAAAGGCUCCACUCGUUGGGAAGAAACUGCAUGGACAUGUCGAAUGUCUUUAGUUACAGAGACGUGUCUAAAGCCAACAAUGAACAACUUGUAUGUGUGUAGACCAAAGACCACAGGAAUUUUCCACGAUAUCACUCGAAAAGUACUAAAAAGGCCAAACGACAUGCAUUUUCUCCUCCAAAAAGACUGCUAUGCUGCCCCCAAAGUUCUUCAACAAACUCGCACAGGUACAGCGUAGCGUAGAAAAACGCCAGCAGCCGCCUCCUCCUCCAGGAAAGAAAGUUAGAAUUCGUACCUCUCGCCGGCGCUGGCGCAGGUCCGCCUCGUCUCCGAUGGCCGUAGGGCCAUUUAGGAGCGGUGGAUCCUGGCAAGGACCGGCGAGAGGGCUUCUUUUUUAGUCGUUUUUUCAAUCUUGUUAGGGUUUGUGUCCUGCUCAGGGAGACGAAACGGCCGCGGCUACCUGAAGAUGGAAUAAAGGUCUCCCCGCCUAGCCUCCGUUCCGGCGAUGCGUCUAUCAUCGUUGGUGGGCGUGUGAAGGUGUGUCUCCGGCAGAUCUAUCUUUGGUGGAUUUGCUCGGAUCACGUCGCUGUUCGUCUACGUUCGUGUGUCUUCGGUUUGGAUUCUUCUGAUCGAUGUACGUUAUUUUUCAUCGGCGGCGGUUGUUGUUCUGGGGUGCUGGUCUUAUGUGGCCUUAGCACGACGACUUUCCGGCUGUCUACUACAAUAAGUUGUGGCCGACUCCGGUGAUGGAGGGGCGAUGACGGCAGCGCGCCUUCGGCUAGCUUCAGUGCUUGUACUCGUCGCUAGGUGGUCUACAAAUCUGGAUGUAAUUUUUAUUUCUGAUAUUCGUUGUACUGCCAUGAUUAAAGAUGAAUAAAUUGAAAAAAAUUCUGAAAAAAAGUUCUUCAACAAAUAUCUUUUUCUCCCCGGAAAAAAAAAGAAAUGUAUAGCUUUUUUUUGGAUAGACUGGACCAGAAACGAGAAUCUGCCGUGUAUGUAUGCAUCCGACGGACCCACUAACUAUUUUUAGAGGCGCAUGUCUCCGUGUGACCAACGACUUGACCUCAAAAAGAUCUGGUCGACAUUCCGACGCAAAAACGACCCCAACGGUGUGCACGCGGAUGACCGACGACGACGAGAACACCGGCCGUGAAUUCCCCUGUUUCCUUCCGUUUUCGCUCCUGCCUCGUGGUGAAGCUGUCGGAGUCGACAGACUGAACGAACGACCCCGGCCAGAGAGGACGCCCGUCAGUUUUCGACCUGGACCUGAUCGAGUAAUCCAAAAAUUCCGAAGCAGCCUACAGGACUGAUUUUGAACGGGAGACCAGCCACAUGUUUCGGGCUCACCUGCAGUCACGGUCGAGAGAGUCUUCAGUGCAGCCACUGCACCACUGAAAUUCUUUGCAGUUACCCAUAAACAUCAUCCCAUUUUCCAACUUUGAAAAUGAGAAGAGAACAUUGCCCCAAUUUCCAGCGUACAGCGUUCUAGGAAAUGAUUCCAGAGUUUCCACUGAGCACAGUAGUCAAAGUCUGGCAAGUCAAGCGUUCACUAAGAAAGUGAGAAUGGAUCUUCACACGGCGGCAGUGCAGAGCGCAGAAUGACCCGUACCCAUCAGAAUAUGAUGGCUUUACAUUCAGACCGGAAUAUCCCUCGUCAUUUACUCACUUGCGAAUGGAAUAGCAGGGAAGACCACGAAGCACCACCCAAUUUCUUUAGAUCAGUGGUGCUUGCUAAAGGAAGAAAAUACUACAUUGUGAUUUUGAUCACCGCCCAGCUCGUGCCGCGAGACUCUUGACUGACGGACCGCCCUGGCAGGACUGACCGGUGGACUGUCUCGUUUUAAACAGAACUGUUCUUCCAAACAAAUUAAUUUCGUAAUGUCCUGAAGACAGCAUGAAAGCGUCAAAUUGCAUUAGGAAAUACUGAAGGUCACGAGUUCAAUCAAAACCAUAUGACCAUGUGCGGCCCUGAAUUUUAAUAGGACAUGUGGGGUUCGUCGCACCCCGAAGAAAAUACUACUAGUAGUGAAAGGCCUAUGGAUCAGUGGCAGAUAAACAAACUCACAGUGGAUGGUAGCAGAACCCCACUCGCUUUGGAGGAACCAACGAGGCUGCUUUGUCAAGGCAAGGACCGUGUCACUGUUUUCUAAGGUUUCUUCUCUUGUACUCCAGUUUUAUACUACUCCAGUAGUAGAGUAGAUGUUAUGCAACUGCCCCGCUUGUUUUAAAUGUUCCAAUGUCGACAAGAGGACAUGCUUAUAUUAGUAUGUUUGACACGAGAAAUGAUAAAAAUAACGUUGGUUAUUGUAUAAUUAUCUCUCUACGCUCCAGGAGAAAUAAAACGUUGCGGGCGUGCCAGUGUACUAAGUAUACAAAUAAACAUGGGGAAACAUGCACUUUAUUUAUCUCUCAUCGGAGAAACAAAAUUACAAGUUCCCUUUACAUAUGCGCUCCGUGGCCUACUAGCGCGGCCAGCCUAACUAUAGCGAUUGCGGUCUCUUGAUUCCCGAGGCCUCGGAAAGCUCCCGAUUAAUUACUCCCGCGGGUUACUCCGCGAGACACCUCCGAUUAAGCCGUGCGGUCAUCUUCGUCGUCUUCGCCUUGCGUUCUCCAUGCAUGAUGAUGGUGGUGUGUGUGUAAGUGUGGGCAGCGGUAAAACCCGUGUCCUCGUCGGUACACGUGCCGCUUAAAACAUGGCUCUGUGCUAGCCACGUUCGCCCUUGCUGUCAUGCCUCGUCAGUCUUGACAGCGUUGAUGUAGUUGGUGUUGGAGUAGCAUGGGUCCUGCUUGGCUCGGACUUCCUGACGAUGUAGCGGCUUCAUCGGGGUAUGCAAAGGGUUGCCUCGCGGGAGUAUUCUUUUAUGGAGACCGGCGUCAGUGUAAAACCAACGCACGCUCGCAUCGGCAUGGCCGGUGUGGUUGACGCCUCGUCUCGACUACACGCCGGGGUUACGGCGGUUUGUGAAGACAAAGACUCCGCCUCACGAGGCCGUGAAAGGUAACAUCUUGGAGGGGCGCGGUGUAUGCCUCGUCUUGGCUAGACGCCGUAUUCGGUGGUCUGACAAAACAAGGAUCACACCGCGGGGCCGAAGAAAGGUGACAUCACGGAGGGGCGUGGUUGAUGCCCCGUCUCAACUAGACGCCGUAUUCGGUGGUCUGCUAAGACAAGGAUCACGCCACCCGUACGACAAACGAGACCUGAUGCAAUGAAGGGUGCACCUCGUCUCGUUUGGACGCUGUAUUCGGUGGUCCAACAAGACAAGGGCAAAGCAUCGCGGUGCCGAAGAAAGGUGACAUCAUGGAAGGGCGUGGUUGAUACCCCGUUCUAGCUAGACGCCGUAUUCGGUGGUCUGCUAAGACAAGGGGCACACUGCCUGUACGCCGAGACCUGUACGCCAUGAAGAGUGCACCUCGUCUCGGCUGGACAUCGUAUUCGGUGGUCCACCAAGACAAAGGAAACACAUCGCAUGAUCGUGGUAAGGGUCGGUGAAGACGUGUCAUCGCGUAGCACCAUCUUCUUCGUAUCGCGGGCUCCGUGUUGCGGGCAGCACCGGGGGCAUGUGUCAUCUUCAUGGACUCCGCGUCGCGGACUCCGUCUUGAUGAGGUAGACAUCGGUGGUGUCGUCCUGCGAGCUCCACGACUCCGUCCACCACAGCACCAGCUUGUUGAUGUUGAUGAUGGGCGUUGUCCUAGCGAGCUCGGUGUCGCCAUCCAACGCGGCAUGGCGGCGACAUCCUUGCGAGCCUCCACACCUUCGUCCUUCGUGGCGCCAGCUUGAUGAAGAAGACGGCAUGGGUCGUCCUAGCGAGCUCCGUCCAUCCACCGCGGCAAGGCGGCGGCAUCCUCGCGAGCCUCCACGCCUCCAGGCUCCAUCUUGACGAAGCAGACGUCGAUGGCGUCCCCAACGAGCGCCACACCUACGUCCUCCUUGCGAGCUCCACACCACAAUCCUCCGCGGCACUGGGUUGAUGAUGUUGGCGAUGGGCCUGGCGUUGUUGAUGCAGGCUCCUUGUCCUGCGUCGUCGUCCGCCGUCUUCAUUGCAUCUGGUACAAGGAAGAGUGCCGCUACGUCCGCGGCCACCACCGCCGGGCGUGUGUCCGCCGCCUCGAUAGCACCUGGUACGAGAAGGGCGCCUCUUCAUCCGCGGCCACCUCCGUUGGCCGUGUCGUUCGCCUCCUCAACUAUGAGAAGAGUGCUGCAUCGUCCUUGGCCACUUCUGCUAGGCGCGUCGUGCGGAGGUCAUUCUGCAAAAUAGAUGAUAACACAUAGAAAAAGAAAGAUUAUUGCACCGCCAAAAGUCCUCCCGCGGGCACGUUCAUCUUCUUUUCGAUGCUCUGCUUCCGUGUGAGGAUGUCGUCGCUGCAUCCCCUUGGCGUACGCGUCGCCGCAUGGGUGCACCCUCCGAUAUCCUCGACGUUGUGGCCAGGGGCGCGUCUCCUCGUCUUCUUUGUGCGUGCGGGAGCCUGCGGAUGUGUGCUUGUUGCUGGCUCUCAUGGAUGUGUUCUCGCCUCCUUUCUCUUGCUCGACGCUGCCACCUCGGCGCGUCUCUUUCCCUCCGUGCGAUCGACGUCGCGGUGAACCUGCUUAAAAAAAGUAUUAUACGUACCAUAGAUGCAUGCAUGCAGUUGCUAUCCAUUGCAAUGCACAACCGUCAUCUCGGCAACGUGCUCGGCACCACGACGCGUCAGUCGGACGCGGCCGGCGAGGCGGCACCUCCCUCUAAAUCCUCUGGGGUUGGCGGCCUCCUUGUCUCCUCUGCCUCCAGUCUUUGCCUGGCCUUCUCACGUAGCACUGAAAGACAUAGUAACAAAAUAAUUAGUCAGCGGAGCUCUCUCCCGUUUCUUCAUCUCCUCGGCGCCUGCAGCUCGCCGUGGCCAGCUUCUUCCUCCUGAGCUUCGUGUGUUGGCGAACGCGCGGCCACGGGCGCGCUGUCACCUCCUGCGCUGCGUUCCUUCUCUCCUUUGUUCCGUAGACGCCGCCGCGACGGGCAUGUCUUCGCUUCGUGCCCUGCAUGGGGUUGUUUUUUGCCGCCCUGGUCGAGAACUUCUGCCUUUAUUUAUAGGCGUGGAGAGAUUAAGGUUGCCCAGCCGGAGCGAUGUACACGUCCGUGAGAUUUACUUUCCUUUUUUUCUCUCAUGCCGUGCCGUACGAGAUGUUCGCUUGCCUAUUGGGCGCAUCCAGAUCUUUACUUUCUAAAUACUCUAUUUGAUUCCAUGCCUAAGCAGCCUCGUACAAGCUCAAAGGUAUUUUUUUAGGAUAGCUCACAAAGGUAUGUUACACCCGAUGCCAGCAUAUCCAUCCAAACACGCGCACCCCAAUCCAUAACAAGCGUGGCGGGUACUGUUCGUGUAUCUGCCGGCGUGCCGGCCGGUAUACGGGUAUUUGGUCAUGUAUUUGUACGCGCUUGACAUACGUGUGCAUGGAUGUAUUUAUUUAUCAUGCUGGGCUAAUUUUAACUAGCCGGCCAUUAGUCCAUUAACGAUUACUUUGGGCGAAGUGUAGUUCAUAAGCCCACGCACAUGCAAUAUAGGCGCCAUGCACACGCAAUAUAGGUGGGCACACAUAAGCACUUCUUGCUCCAUGUGACCUAAAUAUUAUUGGUAGAGGUAAUAUCAUCAGUGGUGCUUAAACUUGUCACCAAUGUUCACUUUAGUGCAUGAACUUGAAAAAUACGUCCAAAUGGUUCUAGAACUUGGCACAAGCGUGCAAAUACGGUGCUAAUCCAAUCCGCAGACAUAUAAUGCACUGACGUGCACCGUAUUUUGUUUAGCAUGUACAUGGGACUCACUUUCAACAGAUGGCUUGCUAUAUAUAUGUCUCUAUGAUUAGUGGGACCCAAAAUCAACGUCAAAAAUUGGAGCCACUAUGACUCGGACUUGCGAUGUGGGGCUAGCAAAGGCCUGCCAAAGGUCUUCCGUAGGAACACAUUCGUGGCUUUGAAAUGGACUGUAAUCAGUGCAGCCCAUUUCGCACAUGUUAAAUCUUUUUUAGAAAUUGGUAACAGUUUCGUAAACUAAUAUUACAGUAAAUAAAUUUUGAGUAUUUAUGUGUUAUAAAUAUUAUACGUAUGAAUAAAAUAACUUAUUAAAAAAAUGUCCUUGUAAGUUUUAAAAAUAUUCACUCAUUUACAUGCGGAUUAUAUUGAAAUAAAUUAGUUAAUACUCCAUCCAUUCCCUAAUAUAAGACCUUUUAGCUUUUUCUUGAUUCCUAUGUACCUAGACACAUUUUAGUAUGCAUGUUCACACAUUUCAAUAUGUAUGUAGUCAAUAUUUUGAAAUAGCUAAAAGGUCAAGGAACGGAGGAAGUACCAAACUACUAAGUAUUUAGUAAAUGUAAGAAAAAGUACCUCAUGGCUUGUAUUUACAUUGUACAAAAUUGUGGAUACAAACAUUUUUAUUAAUAUUCAUUGGUGAUAACUUUACCUGAUGUAUACAUUUAUAAAAACGUUAAAUAUUAAAAAUAAUAAAUAUUCUUUAGUUGACACGAAAGCAUGAGUAAUGAAUUGGUAUGGGUCGGCGCUAGCUAGCUUGGCUUUGUAAGUUAGAUUCCUGGCGGGGACUGUUUUUAUCGUUUAAUUUCUCUUUAUUUUGACAUGUGGGGCCCAUUGGUCAUGGAGACUCACAUUAAUGCUAAUCAAAAUAUGGUGCCACGUAGCACAUUAUACGUCCGCAGGUUGGAUAAGCACCGUAUUUGCACUCUCGUGUCAAGUUCUAGAACCAGUUCAUCGUAUUUUUCAAGUUUAGGCACUAAAGUGAACAUUGGUGACAAGGUUAAACACUACUAGUGAUAUUACCUCUUAUUGGUACAAGUUACCAUUUAGAAAACUCUUUUUUUACAGAGAAAGUAUCCUUCCUCCUUACUUUCAUAUUAUUUAUAGUGCAAAAUCUCAUCGAACAUAGUACAAGUUGCACGUUCAUAUCUCGAAGUACAGCGUUUCUUGCACCAAUUAGGUAAAGCUACCUUCAGCAACAGGCUGUAGAAUGCAGCAGACAGACGCCACUCCAGUCCAAUGCGGCAGUGCACCAAUAGGAGAACACUACUCGCUUUGCCGGAAAAUGCACAGGAGCUCAUGGGUGCUCCACUCCCUAUAUGAAUACCAACUUCAAAAAAUAACAGGAAGAUUCGAAAAAAUCUGAAAUUUUGGGAUAUCAAACAUGGAUGCCCAAUCUACUCCCGUGUGAAGUUUCAUGAAAAGAUACCAAAAAAUGUAUCAGUGACGAAGAAAAUCAGUCCGACCUACGAUCCACCCAAACAGUUUUUUUGUACAUAUGAUUUUUUGUCUUUUCUACUGAGAGUAUCACGAAUGCCAUUUUUUCGCGGAACAUCGCACGGGAGUAGAUUGGACACCCAGGUUUGAUAUCCCAAAAUCCGAGUUUUUUUUUAAAUUUUCUGAUAUUUUUUUGAAUUUAAUGUUCAUAUAGUGGGGUGGAGCACCCAGGAGCCAAAAAUUUGCGUCCUCACUUUGCCUCUUCUUCUUCUUCUUCUUCUUCUUGCUAUGGCAUGAUUAACAGAAAAUGGAGGUAAGGCCCACCCACAUGAAUCUUAUUCUGAUUAUAUCGACAUGGGCAAAUACUAUGUUCAAUAGCUAUAAUAAUACAUUAUAGCUAACAAUCAUCUUGUGUCUGCGGAAAUACCACUCCUCCGGAAAGGAGGAAGGAGAAACGAGUCGACCAUGUGGUUGUGCAUCUGCCUGCACAAACGGUCGAGCACCUGGCGUUCAACUUGAAUGGAAGACGUGGGAGUACCUCUCGUCCCCGCACCAACCAUCUUGCUGCCACCGAGCACCUGUGCGCAGUCACCACCCGGUGCCGAGAUUGCCAUGGCCUCACAUUGCUCCGAGCUUCAAUUCUUGGGCAACCCUGUGACCAACCAUGCCCAGAGCGCGGAGCAGCACAAUCAAGAUGUCAACUCUCUCGGUCAUUUCCUCCAGGAAGACCGCCGAGGCCAUUGACAUACUCAAGCUCAUGUUGUCGACAUUCUUGGUCGCGCUGUGUGAGGCUGUCGACCUCCGCCACCUCGAGGAGAAUGUCAAGAAUGCUGUCAAGAGCUGUGUAAAGACGGUGGCUAGAAAGACAUUGAGCACCAAUAACAAUGCCCAUCUGCACAAUGCGCGCACCAACUAUCUGCGGGUUCGCAUACGCGGACGACCCUUGCAGCACCAACUAUCCACACAUGCAGAAGAUGCUUGCAGUUCUUGUGGAUCACACAUUGGCCAAUGGUGAGGCCGAGCGCGAUGUGGAGACAUCAGCGUUUGCCAAGUUUGCCACCUUUGAGCAGGAGCUCCGUGCAGUGCUGCCAAGGGAGGUCGAGUCUGCCCGGAGUGUCGUGGAGAAUGGCACUGCUGUACAACAGAACCAUAUCAGCGAAUGUAGGUCCUACCCGCUCUAUUGGUUCGCGCGCAAGGAGUUGGGAACUGAGUAUUUGACUGGGGAGAAGACACGGUCUCCCGGUGAAGAGGUGAACAAGGUGUUCAUUGCCAUGAACAAGGGCAAGCUCAUCGAUGCGCUGCUCGAGUGCCUUGAGGAGUGGAAUGGUGAGCCUCUGCCUUUCUGCUGAACAGAAUGUCCAGAAAGUGAAGAGUAGUGUACUUCAGAAGGCCUAAGAUGUGCUGAUAAGUGAUAAUAUUGUUUUUCGUUGCAUUUCUUCAAAGUCGAUGUUUGGUAGCGUUCUUAUAGAGCUGCCAUGUUGUUACCAAAAAUUGCAAUUGCAUGACUUGAUAGUGGUAGGUACCCAGUAGAACUUCUAUGAUGUAAGUUAAACAGAUGAGUGGCCUGCUGAGGAGAGGAUAUAAUGUGUGAUGAAUAUUUAUGGUAAAUGCAGUGCUUCAUUUUUUGAGAUCACUAGUACGUUUUUUUAAAUAGAUCAGUAGUCUGGUUUGUCUUAAGAUAACUCCCGGCAAUGCAAAGUAUCUUGUUUUUAACCGUAGAGAGAAUCUAUUCGUUGGCAUGCCAUAUGGUUUGUAGAUCUCAUGCAUCUAUAUGAGCCAUGGAGACAGGGUCGUCCAAGGGCCUGUGCGAGCUGUGCGCUCGCACAGGGCCCCCAAAAUCGAGGCCCCCCGAUUUAGGGCCAUAUACGUGUAUGAAUAGUCCGAAAAAUUAGAUCAGUUUUGGGCCAUUCGUUGCAUCUGUGUGUGGUCUGAGGGCUGAAAACACUCCAUUCGGCCUUCCUGGGCCUGGUCCGCUCAAGGCCUCGAGCCAUACGCGCUGUCCAUCCUCGCGUGGAUCGAUCUGAGAGAUGUUAGAUGAAAAGACAGCCCUAGGCCCCUAGCGCAGUACGUGUACAUACGUUCCGUGACUUCUGCCAUUCCCUAAUCUCUCCGCUUUCCAUCUGAUUCCUCUGCGGCUGUGCGAUUUAUCUUUUCGGGACGACUGAAUCGGUGGCUCGGCGGCGAUUGCUUUGCAGCCAGGCGAUGGCGGAAGGGGAACUGGACGGGACUUGCGACCGCUGGAUGCCGUCGCGCCAUCCGACACUGCUGCGGUGCCGCCGAACAGAAGGCCAACGGCCAACAGUAACCGAUGCCCUACGCGUCUCCUCUUUUCUCUAAUUUUGAUACAAACUGCAAAGUUGUGUUAAGAUUUUACUUAUAUGUUUUGGAAUGAUCUUUUGUCAAGUUGUUGAAUUUCAAAAGUUGUCACACAUUCAAGAUUUUUUUUAGAGCGGAGGCACAUGUCCGGCCUUAAACUGAGGCCCUUACACACAGUCACACACACGGCAGAGGUUCAGGCCACAAAAGGAAAGGAGUCUAAACGGGAAACUAGGGAUACAUGACCAUACAGGUCCGAUGCCACGACGCAGCGUGCAUAUUCCGCCUACAUGGGUGUGGAAGGCUGGGCGGUCCCCGCACCGGUGUGAUCCCGCCUUCGCACCCGUCGUAGCUCAGCACACCUGGCCUGGAGGCUGCCUGCGAGCUGCUCCACCUUUCCUUGCUCUGAGGGUCUUGCCAGAAGCUUCCGUAGCUGCAAAAAGAUAACCAGGUUGUAUAUAACAUCAGCUGGGUGCUUAAAGAAUUUUCCCUCUAUUAGCGCUUUAUUACGAGUAGUCCACUGGGCCCAGGCUAUCGCCCCAAACCCCACCCAAGCCGGUCUACGCUCUUGCCCAUGUGUGUUGUUGAUCAACUGGAACACAUCUACUACCGAUCCCGGGUUCCAUGCGCAGCCAGUGGCCGCACGGAGCACACUCCACGCAAAUCUAGCAACGAUGCACCGAAAAAUGAUAUGAUCACUUGUUUCAUCCUCGCCACACCACACGCACUUGCCGUCACCCGGGCCAUUGCGUUUCUGCACUUGAUCCCCAAUAGGGAUCCUAUUUCUCACUAGUUGCCAACGGAAGAUUUUUAUUUUUGUUGGCAUUCUCGCCUUCCAAAGCCCACUCAAGUCACACGGCUGCGCCGAUCGAAAAAUCUCCUUGUACAGGGAUCCUGUCGAGAACUCUCCGGAUGGCGCAAGCGACCAGGUCACCUCGUCCCUGUCGUGGGAGAUCCUGCAGCCAGCCAGAUCGAGACUCAGCUGCUCCCAUUCUCUGGACUCCACCGGGCCUAGAAGGCGUCGGAAACGUGGUAGCCAGCGACCAUUACUCCAAGCUUCCAUCACUCUGGCCUCCGGCCGCUCGGCGAUGGCGAACAAUGCCGGGAAGCGAACCCCCAACGGCUCCUCCCCACACCAAGUAUCCUGCCAAAACAAGGCCACCCGCCCGCCUUUCACCUGAAAACGUGUCCCUAGUCUCAGCAGAGAUUGCACCUUCCUGAUCCCUUUUGCAAAAUGGGACAGUUUAAUGCUUCGGCGGAAGUCCGUCCCCCCUUCCGUCAAAUAUUUCUUUCUAAAGAUAUCGAGCCAUAGGCCACCUUGCCCGAUCAGAAUUUUCCAUGCCCAUUUCGCAAUGAGGCACCAAUUCAUCACUCUGGUGUUGAUCACCCCUAAUCCAUCUCGCUCCUUAGGAGUGCAAGUAUGUUCCCAUUUAACCAUGGGGUACCUUUGUUUGCCCUACUCUUUAGCCCCAAAAAAAAUCUGGAUCUCACCCUAUCCAUCUUCUCAUGUAUGCCAUCUCGAAGCAAAUAGAAACCCAUAAUAAACAUCGAGAUAUUCGUAAGACAAUCAUUAAUGAGCACAAGCCUGCCACCCGAGGCUAAUAGUCAUUUUGAUUGUUAGUCCAGGUAAACCUGGCACUAUUUCUCUGUAGUUCAAUGAGCUCAAGGUUCGCCGCCCAAUCAUUAAACAUCACCACAAGGCGGUGGUUAUUAAUGUGUAGAUUUCUAUUAUCUGCCGAACUGCGAAGCAAGUUGAAGUCCCCCUAAUCACAAUUGGGCAAGUGGCUAUAGAAAUCUUGUCUUGUAUUUUCCUCAAAAAGUCCGCCGAGCGAGCAUGAUCAACGGGGCCGUACACCACCUGCAGCUCCCACUGGAAACGGUUGUUCUUUUGAAUGACCUCUACGGCAAGGAAGAAUUCCCCUCUAGAAAACUGGAUUAUUUCAAACGCCUCGGAACUCCGGCCGAGGAAGAUGCCUCCAGAGCGCCCUCAAGAUGGAAGCCAUUCCCACCUAAAGCGUGUCAUUCCUCCUAAUGAGUCAAGUUCGAGUUGGGAGAAGGAAGUCCUGAAUGUUUCCUGUAAACCCACAAACUCCAUCCGUUGCUCGCGGAUAUACUCGAUCAACUGACGCCUCCUGUCAAGUUGGCCGAACCCCCGCAAGUUCCAAAAUAAGCCUCUCAUUGUGCCCCAAUGGGGGAUCGGGCCCCCGCCCCCUCCACCGGUGUCUAGUCGAUCGACCUCUCCCUCUACCGCGGCAACGGCCACUUCCCCGACCGCGUGAUGCGCGACCGCGAGUUGACGUCACUGCCCUCUCCCUGGCAGGGACGUCAGACGCAGCCACGCGUGCCUCGGCCGCCAACGUGCGGGCGAUAUCCCGCUUCGCGACACUCUCUGUCACCUGCGCUUGGACCAAUUCUUGCGCACGGAAGCGAUCAGGCAUUUCUAGUGGAGUCACAUUAGCAUUACCCAACAGCACAUGACUAUCUGACGCCACUUUAAGCAGAUGUGAGUCCGAAGCAAGAGCUAAAACCUUAAAAGACGACAUUUAUCGAGUUAUGGGUUUGGAAAAUAUACCUGGUGUGGACUGGCUGCCUUUAGGGUCAUAGCUUUUGCCAUCAUGUCAGAUGUCUUGGCGUUUGCCGUCCUGGUACUUGAACGCGCUGUUAGGGAACGUAGUAAUUUCAAAAAAAUUCCUACGCACACGCAAAAUCAUGGUGAUGCAUAGCAACGAGAGGGGAGUGUGUCCACGUACCCUCGUAGACCGAAAGCGGAAGCGUUAGCACAACACGGUUGAUGUAGUCGUAUGUCUUCACGAUCCGACCGAUCAAGUACCGAACGCACGGCACCUCCGAGUUCAACACACGUUCAACUCGAUGACGUCCCUCGAACUCCGAUCCAGCCGAGCUUUGAGUGAGAGUUCCAUCAGCACGACGGCAUGGUGACGAUGAUGAUGUUCUACCGACGCAGGGCUUCGCCUAAUCACUGCUACGAUAUGACCGAGGUGGAUUAUGGUGGAGGGGGGCACCGCACACGGCUAAGAGAUCCAAUGGAUCAAUUGUUGUGUCUCUAGGGGGUGCCUCCCUCCCCGUAUAUAAAGGAGUGGAGGAGGGAGGGGCCCGGCCACCCUUGGCGCGCCCCAUGAGGAGUCCUACUCCCACCGGGAGUAGGACUCCCCCCUUCCAUGUUGGAGUAGGAGAGGAGAGGGAAGGAGAGAGAGGGGGAAAGGAAAGGGGGGGCGCCCCCCUCCUUGUCCAAUUCAGACUUGGGAGGAGGGGCGCGCGGCUGCCCCUUGGCCGCCUCUCCUCUUCCACCACUUGGGCCCAUGAGACCCAGUAACCUGGGGGGGGGGGUUCCGGUAACCCCCGGUACUCCGGUAUAUAUCCGAUGACCCCCGGAACCAUUUCGGUGUCCGAAUAUAGUCGUCCAAUAUAUCAAUCUUCAUGUCUCGACCAUUUCGAGACUCCUCGUCAUGUCCGUGAUCGCAUUCGGGACUCCGAACUACCUUCGGUACAUCAAAACACAUAAACUCAUAAUAUAACCGUCAUCGAACUUUAAGCGUGCGGACCCUACGGGUUCGAGAACUAUGUAGACAUGACCGAGACACAUCUCCGGUCAAUAACCAGUAGCGGAACCUGGAUGCUCAUAUUGGCUCCCACAUAUUCUACGAAGAUCUUUAUCGGUCAAACCGCAUAACAACAUACGUUGUUCCCUUUGUCAUCGGUAUGUUACUUGCCCGAGAUUCGAUCGUCGGUAUCUCAAUACCUAGUUCAAUCUCGUUACCGGCAAGUCUCUUUACUCGUUCCGUAAUACAUCAUCCCGCAACUAACUCAUUAGUUGCAAUGCUUGCAAGGCUUAUAGUGAUGUGCAUUACCGAGUGGGCCCAGAGAUACCUCUCCGACAACUGGAGUGACAAAUCCUAAUCUUGAAAUACGCCAACCCAACAAGUACCUUCGGAGACACCUGUAGAGCACCUUUAUAAUCACCCAGUUACGUUGUGACGUUUGAUAGCACACAAAGUGUUCCUCCGGUAAACGGGAGUUGCAUAAUCUCAUAGUCAUAGGAACAUGUAUAAGUCAUGAAGAAAGCAAUAGCAACAUACUAAACGAUCAAGUGCUAAGCCAACGGAAUGGGUCAAGUCAAUCACAUCAUUCUCCUAAUGAUGUGAUCCCGUUAAUCAAAUGACAACUCAUGUCUAUGGUUAGGAAACAUAACCAUCUUCGAUUAACGAGCUAGUCAAGUAGAGGCAUACUAGUGACACUAUGUUUGUCUAUGUAUUCACACAUGUAUUAUGUUUCCAGUUAAUACAAUUCUAGCAUGAAUAAUAAACAUUUAUCAUGAUAUAAGGAAAUAAAUAAUAACUUUAUUAUUGCCUCUAGGGCAUAUUUCCUUUAGUCUCCCACUUGCACUAGAGUCAAUAAUCUAGAUUACACAGUAAUGAUUCUAACACCCAUUGAGUCUUGGUGCUGAUCAUGUUUUGCUCGUCGAAGAGGCUUAGUCAACGGGUCUGCAACAUUCAUAUCCGUAUGUAUCUUGCAAAUCUCUAUGUCUCCCACCUGGACUUGAUCCCGGAUGGAGUUGAAGCGUCUCUUGAUGUGCUUGGUUCUUUUGUGAAAUCUGGAUUUCUUUGCCAAAGCAAUUGCACCAGUAUUGUCACAAAAGAUUUUCAUUGGACCCGAUGCACUAGGUAUGACACCUAGAUUGGAUAUGAACUCCUUCAUUUGCUGCUUCCGAAGCAGCUAUGUACUCCGCUUCACAUGUAGAUCCCGCUACGAUGCUUUGUUUAGAACUACACCAACUGACAGCUCCACCGUUCAAUAUAAACACGUAUCCGAUUUGCGAUUUAGAAUCGUCCAGAUCAGUGUCAAAGCUUGCAUCGACGUAACCAUUUACGACGAGCUCUUUGUCACCUCCAUAAACGAGAAACAUAUCCUUAGUCCUUCUCAAGUAUUUCAGAAUGUUCUUGACCGCUGUCCAGUGAUCGACUCCUGGAUUACUUUGGUACCUCCCUGCUAAACUAAUAGCAAGGCACACAUCAGGUCUGGUACACAACAUUGCUUACAUGAUAGAGCCUAUGGCUGAAGCAUAGGGAACAUCUUUCAUUUUCUCUCUAUCUUCUGCAGUGGUCGGGCAUUGAGUCUUACUCAACUUCACACAUUGUAACACAUGCAAGAACCCUUUCUUUGCUUGAUCCAUUUUGAACUUCUUCAAAACUUUGUCAAGGUAUGUGCUUUGUGAAAGUCCUAUCAAGCUUCUUGAUCUAUCUAUAUAGAUCUUGAUGCCCAAUAUAUAAGCAGCUUCACCGAGGUCCUUCAUUGAAAAACUCUUAUUCAGAUAUCCCUUUAUGCUAUCCAGAAAUUCUAUAUCAUUUUUGAUCAACAAUAUGUCAUCCACAUAUAAUAUCAGAAAUGCUACAGAGCUCCCACUCACUUUCUUGUAAAUACAGGCUUCUCCAAAAGUCUGUAUAAAACCAUAUGCUUUGAUCACACUAUCAAAACGUUUAUUCCAACUCCAAGAGGCUUGCACCAGUCCAUAAAUGGAUCCCUGGAGCUUUCACACUUUGUUAGCUCCCUUUGGAUCGAAAAAACCUUCCGGUUGCAUCAUAUUCAACUCUUCUUCCAGAAAUCCAUUCAGGAAUGCAGUUUUCACAUCCAUUUGCCAAAUUUCAUAAUCAUAAAAUGCGGCAAUUGCUAACAUGAUUCAGACAGACUAAGCAUCGCUACGGGUGAGGAAGUCUCAUCGUAGUCAACCCCUUGAACUUGUCGAAAACCUUUUGCAACAAGUCGAGUUUUAUAGACAGUAACAUUACCGUCAGCGUCAGUCUUCUUCUUGAAGAUCCAUUUAUUCUCGAUGGCCUGCCGAUCAUCGGGCAAGUCAACCAAAGUCCACACUUUGUUCUCAUACAUGGAUCCCAUCUCAGAUUUCAUGGCCUCAAGCCAUUUUGUGAAAUCUGGGCUCACCAUCGCUUCUUCAUAGUUCGUAGGUUCGUCAUGGUCUAGUAACAUAACCUCCAUUACAGGAUUACCGUACCACUCUGGUGUGGAUCUUACUCUGGUUGACCUACGAGGUUCAGUAACAACUUGAUCUGAAGUUUCAUGAUCAUCAUCAUUAAUUUCCUCAUUAAUUGGUAUAGACGUCACAGGAACCGGUUUCUGUGAUGAACUACUUUACAAUAAGGGAGCAGGUACAGUUACCUCAUCAAGUUCUACUUUCCUCCCACUCACUUCUUUCGAAAGAAACUCCUUCUCUAGAUAGGAUCCAUUCUUGGCAACAAAUGUAUUGCCUUCGGAUCUGUGAUAGAAGGUGUACCCAACAGUUUCCUUUGGGUAUCCUAUGAAGACACAUUUCUCCGAUUUGGGUUCGAGCUUAUCAGGUUGAAGCUUUUUCACAUAAGCAUUGCAACCCCAAACUUUAAGAAACGACAACUUUGGUUUCUUGCCAAACCACAGUUCAUAAGGCGUCUUCUCAACGGAUUUUGAUGGUGCCCUAUUUAACGUGAAUGCGGCCGUCUCUAAAGCAUAACCCCAAAACGAUAGCAGUAAAUCAGUAAGAGACAUCAUAGAUCGCACCAUAUCUAGUAAAGUACGAUUACGACGUUCGGACACACCAUUAUGUUGUGGUGUUCCGGGUGGCGUGAGUUGCGAAACUAUUCCGCAUUGUUUCAAAUGUAGACCAAACUCGUAACUCAAAUAUUCUCCUCCACGAUCAGAUCGUAGAAACUUUAUUUUCUUGUUACGAUGAUUUCCAACUUCACUCUGAAAUUCUUUGAACUUUUCAAAUGUUUCAGACUUAUGUUUCAUUAAGUAGAUAUACCCAUAUCUACUUAAAUCAUCUGUGAAGGUGAGAAAAUAACGAUACCCGCCAUGAGCCUCAACAUUCAUUGGACCACAUCCAUCAGUAUGUAUGAUCUCCAAUAAAUCAGUUGCUCGCUCCAUAGUUCCGGAGAACGGCGUUUUAGUCAUCUUGCCCAUGAGGCAUGGUUUGCAAGUACCAAGUAAUUCAUAAUCAAGUGAUUCCAAAAGUCCAUCAGUAUGGAGUUUCUUCAUGCGCUUUACACCAAUAUGACCCAAACGGCAGUGCCGCAAAUAAGUUGCACUAUCAUUAUCAAUUCUGCAUCUUUUGGCUUCAACAUUAUGAAUAUUGGUAUCACUACUAUCGAGAUUCAUGAAAAAUAGACCACUCUAGAAGGAUGCAUGACCAUAAAAGAUAUUACUCAUAUAAAUAGAACAACCAUUAUUCUCUGAUUUAAAUGAAUAACCGUCUCGCAUUAAACAAGAUCCAGAUAUAAUGUUCAUGCUCAACGCUGGCACCAAAUAACAAUUAUUUAGGUCUAAUACUAAUACCGAAGGUAGAUGUAGAGGUAGCGUGCCGACGGCGAUCACAUCGACUUUGGAACCGUUUCCCACGCGCAUCGUCACCUUGUCCUUAGCCAGUGUCCACUUAAUCCGUAGUCCCUGUUUCGAGUUGCAAAUAUUAGCAACGGAACCAGUAUCAAAUACCCAGGUGCUACUGCGAGCUCUGGUAAGGUACACAUCAAUAACAUGUAUAUCACAUAUACCUUUUUUCACCUUGCCAUCCUUCUUAUCGGCCAAAUACUUGGGGCAGUUCCGCUUCCAGUGACUAGUCUGCUUGAAGUAAAAGCACUCAGUCUCAGGCUUAGGUCCAGACUUGGGUUUCUUCUCCUGAGCAGCAACUUGUUUGCUGUUCUUCUUGAAGUUCCCCCUUUUCUUCCCUUUGCCCUUUUUCUUGAAACUGGCGGUCUUAUUGACCAUCAACACUUGAUGCUCCUUCUUGAUUUCUACCUCCGCAGCCUUUAGCAUUGCGAAGAGCUCGGGAAUUGUCUUAUCCAUCCCUUGCAUGUUAUAGUUCAUCACGAAGCUCUUGUAACUUGGUGGCAGUGAUUGAAGAAUUCUGUCAAUGACGCUAUCAUCCGGAAGAUUAACUCCCAGUUGAAUCAAGUGAUUGUUAUACCCAGACAUUCUGAGUAUAUGCUCACUGAAAGAACUAUUCUCCUCCAUCUUGCAGCUGUAGAACUUAUUGGAGACUUCAUAUCUCUCAAUCCGGGCAUUUGCUUGAAAUAUUAACUUCAACUCCUGGAACAUCUCACAUGCCCCAUGACGUUCAAAACGUCGUUGAAGUCCCGGUUCUAAGCCGUAAAGCAUGGCACACUGAACUAUCGAGUAGUCGUUGAUACGUCUCCAACGUAUCUAUAAUUUAUGAAGUAUUCAUGCUAUUAUAUUAUCUGUUUUGGAUGUUUAUGGGCUUUAUUAUGCACUUUUAUAUUAUUUUUGGGACUAACCUAUUAACCCAAAGCCCAGUGCCAGUUUUUGUUUUUCCCUUGUUUCAGUGUUUCGCAGAAAAGGAAUAUCAAACGGAGUCCAAACGGAAUGAAACCUUCGGGAAAGUUAUUUUUGGAACGGAAGCAUUCCAGGGGACUUGGAGUGCACGUCAGGGAAUCAACGAGGAAGGCACGAGGCAGGGGGCGCGCCCACCCCCCUGUGCACGCCCUCCACCCUCGUGGCUCCUCUGACGUACUUCUUCCUCCUAUAUAUACCAAUAUACCCUAAAACCUUCGGGGAACAGAAUAGAUCGGGAGUUCCGCCACCGCAAGCCUCUGUAAACACCAAAAACCAAUUGGGACCCUGUUCCGGCACCCUGCCGGAGGGGGGAUCCCUCACCGGUGGCCAUCUUCAUCAUCCCGACGCUCUCCAUGACGAGGAGGGAGUAGUUCACCCUCGGGGCUGAGGGUAUGUACCAGUAGCUAUGUGUUUGAUCUCUCUCUCUCUCUCUCUCUCGUGUUCUUGAGGUGAUACGAUCUUGAUGUAUCGCGAGCUUUGCUAUUAUAGUUGGAUCUUAUGAUGUUUCUCCCCCUCUACUCUCUUGUAAUGGAUUGAGUUUUCCCUUUGAAGUUAUCUUAUCGGAUUGAGUCUUUAAUGAUUUGAGAACACUUGAUGUAUGUCUUGCGUGGGAUAACCAUGGUGACAAUGGGUUAUUCUAUAGAUUCACUUGAUGCAUGUUUUGGUGAUCAACUUGUGGGUUCCGCCCAUGAACCUAUGCAUAGGGGUUGGCACACGUUUUCGUCCUGACUCUUCGGUAGAAACUUUGGGGCACUCUUUGAGGUUCUAUGUGUUGGUUGAAUAGAUGAAUCUGAGAUUGUGUGAUGCAUAUCGUAUAAUCAUACCCACGGAUACUUGAGGUGACAUUGGAGUAUCUAGGUGACAUUAGGGUUUUGGUUGAUGUGUGUCUUAAGGUGUUAUUUUACUACGAACUCUAGGGCUGUUUGUGACACUUAUAGGAAUAGCCCAAUGGAUUGAUUGGAAAGAAUAACUUUGAGGUGGUUUCGUACCCUACCAUAAUCUCUUCGUUUGUUCUCGUCUUUUAGUGACUUUGGAGUGACUCUUUGUUGCAUGUUGAGGGAUAGUUAUAUGAUCCAAUUAUGUUAUUAUUGUUGAGAUAACUUGCACUAGUGAAAGUAUGAACCCUAGGCCUUGUUUCCUAGAAUUGCAAUACCGUUUGUGCUCACUUUUAUCAUUAGUUACCUUACUGUUUUUAUAUUUUCAGAUUACAGAAACCUAUAUCUACCAUCCAUAUUGCACUAGUAUCACCAUCUCUUCGCCGAACUAGUGCACCUAUACAAUUUACCAUUGUAUUGGGUGUGUUGGGGACACAAGAGACUCUUUGUUAUUUGGUUGCAGGGUUGUUUGAGAGAGACCAUCUUCAUCCUACACCUCCCACGGAUUGAUAAACCUUAGGUCAUCCACUUCAGGGAAAUUUGCUACUGUCCUACAAACCUCUGCACUUGGAGGCCCAACAACAUCUACAAGAAGAAGGUUGCGUAGUAGACAUCAAGCAGUUUCUGGCGCCGUUGCCGGGGAGGUGAGUGCUUGAAGGUAUAUCUUUAGAACUUGCAAUCGAAUCUGUUAGUUUCUUGUUUUAUCACUAGUUUAUAUUAUAAAAGAAAACUACAAAAAAAUGGAAUUAAGGGUGCCUCAUAUGCUUCAUCUUUUUAAUAUCUUUCGUGAAAAUGAUGGGAAGGAAAAUUGUGCUCAAGUACUAGAAGAAGAAUUACAUAGAAUGCUUGGAAUAAAAUAUGUGAAUGAUGAGCAUGAUUGCAAUGUUGUUAGUAUGAACUCCUUGAAUAUCCAUAGUACUAAUGAUGAUUGCACUAGUCAUGAUGAAAAUAUCUCUUAUAAGCAUGUCGAUUUUUGUGGAGUGUAUUGGGUUUGCAAGUACACACCAAAUAGGGAAGAUAGAUAUUGCAAGAGGCAAAAGCAUUUAGAAACUAAAUUGUUGCAAGAAAGGCUAGAUGUUUGUGCUAAAAAUUUAAAUUUUCUUAGCCGUACUUGUGAACUUUGCAAUGAACAUGAUCAUUUCAGUACCCAAUGCGAAUUGUUUCAUGAUCAUAUCGUGUCUAAAAAUUGCGAUGACUUGAUUUCCCUUGCACAUCAUAAUGAACUUAGUUUGCUCUUGGGUUAUGAAGAAAUGAAACGUAUAACUAAGGUCAUUCCAGAAUUUGCCCUUGAUAGAAUUCUUCAUUUUGAUCUAGAAGAAAUUUAUAUGCAUUGUGCGGUGAAUUGCCUUGAAAAUCCUUAUAUUGCCAACUACAUAAAGAAAAGAAAAUAAAUAGAAGAUGAAGAAAAUACUAAUGAAAGGGAAGAGACUACCCAAUAUCCUCCUAUUAUUUCUUAUGAUGAAUCAGGUAACGAGGAGGAGCCUUCUAUUCAACCAAUCUCAUUAACAAGGAGCUCCAAAAAGAGGAUUGAACCCACACAUGAUGUGGUGAAGAAGAAGAAAAGAAAAAGGAAGAGAGGUAAAAAGAUAUCUCUCCCAAAUAAUGUUGCUCCUAUUAUUGUUGUGCCUCAUGAAAAUGAAUCAAAAAUAAUUGUGGAAGAUGAUGCACUUGAUGAUGAUCUCGUUAUGCCUAUUGCUUGUUGUGAUGAUUAUGAUUGGGAAGAUAAUAAUACUUCUUAUGAUCUUGAAAAUCUUUUUGGCACUUGCUUGGAAGAAUAUGAUAAUCGCUAUACUAUUGGUGCUAUCCAUACUAUUAAUGAUGAGAGUGAUUAUGCUUAUGAUAUAAAAAGGCCCAAGCUUGGGGAUGCUAUGUUUGAAUAAGAAGAUGUUUUUGAGAAUAUAUUUGCUGCAAUUAAUGUUUGUCCCAAGCUUGGGGAUGCUACGUUUAAUGAAGAUGAUAUUUUUAGUCUCCUAAGUUUUGAUAUGAAAAUUUAUAAUGAUUAUAGAAUGCCUCCUACUUAUGAUGAUUAUAUUGAUGAAAGUGGGUUUGGAAGAGUGUCAACUUUAGGAAGUAAUGAUCCCACUAUUUUGGAGGAUGUUGAAUCUUAUAAUAUUUAUGAAAGUGGAUUUGGAGAGGUCAUGACUUUAUUUAGUGAUGAGUCCACUAUCUUGGAAGAGGUUUCAAUUGAUUAUGAUGAGAACAAAGUUGCUACUUAUGAUGAUUAUUGUGAUGAAACUUAUGCUAUAAAAAGUAGUGAUGAUUAUAUUUAUAAAACUUGUCAUGAUUAUGAUUACCCUUUUUCUGAACAUUACUCUUUUAAUGUGGAAACAAUUUAUAGUAUUCAAGUCUCUUAUGAUACUCCCACUAUUCCGAAUGAGAAGAAUUUUGCUUAUGUGGAGAGUAGUAAAAUUUCUAUGCUUGUAGAUGAUGAAAAGAAUGCUUUAGGUGCUGGUUAUAUUGUUGAAUUCAUUCAUGAUGCUACUGAAAAUUAUUAUGAGGGAGGAAUAUAUGCUUGUAGGAAUUGCAAUAAUAUCAAGUUUCCUCUCUAUGUGCUUAAAGUUUUGAAGUUAUGUUUGUUUUGCCUUCCUAUGCUAGUUGAUUAUUGUUCCCAUAAGUUGUUUGCUCACAAAAUCCCUAUGCAUAGGAAGUGGGUUAGACUUAAAUGUGCUAGUCAUAUUCUUCAUGAUGCUCUCUUUAUGUUUCAAUUCUUAUCUUUUAUGUGAGCAUCAUUGAAAUCAUCAUAACUAGCUAGGGGUGUUAAACGUUAGCGCUUGUUGGGAGGCAACCCAAUUUUAUUUUAGUUUCUUGCUUUUUGGUUCUGUUUAGUAAUAAAUAAUCCAUCUAGCUUCUGGUUAGAUGUGUUUUCAUGUUUUAAUUAGUGUUUGUGCCAAGUAGAACCUUUGGGAAGACUCGGGUGAAGUCUUUAUGAUCAUGCUGUAAAAAACAGAAACUUUAGCGCUCACGAGAUUAGCUUCAACUUUUUACUGGAGAGUGCUAUUUAGUUGAUUCUUUUUUAAGAUGAUUACUAGGAAAAUUCCUCAGGUCCACCAAUUUAUUUUAGAAUUUUUGGAGGUCCAGAAGUAUACGUUUGAUACAGAUUACUACAGACUGUCCUGUUUUUGACAGAUUCUGUUUUUCAUGUGUUGUUUGCUUAUUUUAAUGAAUCUAUGGCUAGUAAAAUAGUUUACAAACCAUAGAGAAGUUGGAAUACAGUAGGUUUAACACCAAUAUAAAUAAAUAAUGAGUUCAUUACAGUACCUUGAAGUGGUGUUUUGUUUUCUUUCGCUAACGGAGCUCACGAGAUUUUCUGUUAAGUUUUGUGUUGUGAAGUUUUCAGUUUUGGGUAAAGAUUCGAUGGACUAUGGAAUACGGAGUGGCAAGAGCCUAAGCUUGGGGAUUCCCAAGGCACCCCAAGGUAAUAUUCAAGGAUAACCAAGAGCCUAAGCUUGGGGAUGCCCCGGAAGGCAUCCCCUCUUUCGUCUUCGUUCAUCGGUAACUUUACUUGGAGCUAUAUUUUUAUUCACCACAUGAUAUGUGUUUUGCUUGGAGCGUCAUUUUAUUUUCUUUAGCUUUGCUUGCUGAUUGAAUAAAAUACCAAGAUCUGAAAGUCUUAAAUGUUAGAGAGUCUUCACAUAGUUACAUAAUUAUUCGACUACUCAUUGAUCUUUACUUAUAUCUUUCGGAGUAGUUUGUUGUUUGCUCAUGUGCUUCACUUAUAUCCUAUGAGUAAAUGGUUGAAUGAUUUGAAUGUAAUAAAUCUGAAAUUAUAUAUGUUUCAUAUGCCUUUCCCAUGGGGAGUAAUGCCUUCACAUAUAAGAAGUAUAGGUGGUAAUUUGUUUGAAGGAUAGCAAACGUUGUAUUGGUCACUUGAACAAUUCAUGAAAGAAUAUUGAAGGAAGAGAGAUUUCACAUAUAAAUAUGCUAUCUUGGACAUCUUCUAUGAUUGUGAGCCCCAUUGGUUAUUUUCAAACCUGAGCAAAUUAGUUGAAGUUGGACAAGGAAGACAACAUAAUGAGUUAUGCUUGGGUAUAUUUGUAUAGAAGUUAUAUUGUUAUGGAUCCUCUAACAUGUGGUGCUUGCUAUUUAGAAUCCUUUGCUAGCCAAAAUAUCUGUACUAAGCGGGAAUACUGCUUGUGCAUCCAAAUUCCUUGAACCAAGUUUCUUCCAUGAGUGUCCACCAUAUCUACCUAUAUGCGGUAUUUACCUGCCGUUCCAAGUAAAUUUGCAUGUGCCAAACUCUAAACCUUCAAAUAAUAAUCUGUUUUGUAUGCCCGAAUCGCUCAUGUAGCGACUAGGGUUAGCAGUAUCUUCCAUGCUAGGUGGGUUAUUCUCACGAUGAGUGGACUCCGCUCAUCAUUCACGAGAAAAUGGCUGGUAACUGGGAUGCCCAGUCCUAUGAUCAAAAGAUCAAAAACAAAUUCGCAAAUAAUUUAAACAAAACUCCCCCAGGGUUGUUGAAAGUUGGACGGCACCCGUUGUUUCGGACAAGCCGUGGAGUGUGAUUGUUGGUGGAGGGGGAGUAAAAUCUUUACCUUUCUGCGUGGGAACCGCCUAUGAUGUAUCUAGUAUGGAAGAUAUUGGGAAUUCUUGGUCGUUAUGUUGACAAUGAAAGCAUACCUCUCAAAAUUAUUUUCAUCUCUGUUUUAGCUUCGAGCUCUGGCACCUCUGCAAAUCCCUGCUUCCCUCUGCGAAGGGCCUAUCUUUUACUUUUAUGCAAGAGUCAGUAGUAUUCCUUCUCAUUCCAACCUACUCUUUAGUUGGCAAGCAUCAUGUGAUGGAAAGAUCUAGGCAUAUAUGGCCAUUAAAAUACAUUUGAGCAUGAAUUAUUACUGUUGACAUUACCCUUGAGGUAAAAGGUUGGGAGGUGAAACAUUAAGCCCCUACCUUUCUCUGUGUUCGAUGAAUACUAUUUGUUCUAAAAAUAUGCUUUGAGUGGUAGCAAUCAUGGAAGACUAAAUGAUAGUUGAGUAUGUGAAGUUUGCUGAAUCAAAGCUCUGACAUAGACUCUUCCUGAAAAUAAGAUGAAUUGCGAUUGUUUGAUGAUUGAGAACAUAGUUUGUUAGUUUUCAAGAAAGUUUAUGAUCUAUACUUUAACAUGUGAAGAGUUUGUUACUUGAUCAUGAAAAGUUCUAUGAGUUGAGCUACUGUUAUGACAUAUGAUGAUGCUAGAAAAGGUGAUUGAAAUUAUCAUUGAUCAAACUUGUGCACCUGCUAGCAUUCACACUUCAUAAAUUAUUUCUUUUAUCAUUUACCUACUCGAGGACGAGCAGGAAUUAAGCUUGGGGAUGCUGAUACGUCUCCAACGUAUCUAUGAUUUAUGAAGUAUUCAUGCUAUUAUAUUAUCUGUUUUGGAUGUUUAUGGGCUUUAUUAUGCACUUUUAUAUUAUUUUUGGGACUAACCUAUUAACCCAGAGCCCAGUGCCAGUUUCUGUUUUUCCCUUGUUUCAGUGUUUCGCAGAAAAGGAAUAUCAAACGGAGUCCAAACGGAAUGAAACCUUCGGGAAAGUUAUUUUUGGAACAGAAGCAAUCCAGGGGACUUGGAGUGCACGUCAGGGAAUCAACAAGGAAGGCAUGAGGCAGGGGGCGCGCCCACCCCCUGGGCGCGCCCUCCACCCUCGUGGGCCCCUCGUGGCUCCGCUGACGUACUUCUUCCUCCUAUAUAUACCAAUAUACCCUAAAACCUUCGGGGAACAGAAUAGAUCGGGAGUUCCGCCGCCGCAAGCCUCUGUAGCCACCAAAAACCAAUUGGGACCCUGUUCCGGCACCCUGCCGGAGGGGGGAUCCCUCACCGGUGGCCAUCUUCAUCAUCCCGACGUUCUCCAUGACGAGGAGGGAGUAGUUCACCCUCGGGGCUGAGGGUAUGUACCAGUAGCUUUGUGUUUGAUCUCUCUCUCUCUCUCUCGUGUUCUUGAGGUGAUACGAUCUUGAUGUAUCGCGAGCUUUGCUAUUAUAGUUGGAUCUGAUGAUGUUUCUCCCCCUCUACUCUCUUGUAAUGGAUUGAGUUUUCCCUUUGAAGUUAUCUUAUCGGAUUGAGUCUUUAAUGAUUUGAGAACACUUGAUGUAUGUCUUGCGUGGGAUAACCAUGGUGACAAUGGGUUAUUCUAUUGAUUCACUUGAUGUAUGUUUUGGUGAUCAACUUGCGGGUUCCGCCCAUGAACCUAUGCAUAGGGGUUGGCACACGUUUUCGUCUUGACUCUCCGGUAGAAACUUUGCGGCACUCUUUGAGGUUCUAUGUGUUGGUUGAAUAGAUGAAUCUGAGAUUGUGUGAUGCAUAUCGUAUAAUCAUACCCACGGAUACUUGAGGUGACAUUGGAGUAUCUAGGUGACAUUAGGGUUUUGGUUGAUGUGUGUCUUAAGGUGUUAUUUUACUACGAACUCUAGGGCUGUUUGUGACACUUAUACGAAUAGCCCAAUGGAUUGAUCGGAAAGAAUAACUUUGAGGUGGUUUCGAACCCUACCAUAAUCUCUUCAUUUGUUCUCCGCUAUUAGUGACUUUGGAGUGACUCUUUGUUGCAUGUUGAUGGAUAGUUAUAUGAUCCAAUUAUGUUAUUAUUGUUGAGAUAACUUGCACUAGUGAAAGUAUGUACCCUAGGCCUUGUUUCCUAAAAUUGCAAUAUCAUUUGUGCUCACUUUUAUCAUUAGUUACCUUGCUGUUUUUAUAUUUUCAGAUUACAAAAACCUAUAUCUACCAUCCAUAUUGCACUUGUAUCACCAUCUCUUCGCCGAACUAGUGCACCUAUACAAUUUACCAUUGUAUUGGGUGUGUUGGGGACACAAGAGACUCUUUGUUAUUUGGUUGCAGGGUUGUUUGAGAGAGACCAUCUUCAUCCUACGCCUCCCACGGAUUGAUAAACCUUAGGUCAUCCACUUGAGGGAAAUUUGCUACUGUCCUACAAACCUCUGCACUUGGAGGCCCAACAACGUCUACAAGAAGAAGGUUGCGUAGUAGACAUUAGUCAUCAGCUUUGCUUUGCCAGACGUUCAUAACAUCUGGUGUUGCUCCUGCAGCAGGUUUGGCACCUAGCGGUGCUUCCAGGACGUAAUUCUUCUGUGCAGCAAUGAGUAUAAUCCUCAAGUUACGGACCCAGUCCGUGUAAUUGCUACCAUCAUCUUUCAACUUGGCUUUCUCAAGGAACGCAUUAAAAUUCAACGGAACAACAGCACGAGCCAUCUAUCUACAACAACAUAGAUAUGCAAAAUACUAUCAGGUACUAAGUUCAUGAUAAAUUUAAGUUCAAUUAAUCAUAUUACUUAAGAACUCCCACUUAGAUAGACAUCCCUCUAAUCAUCUAAGUGGUCACGUGAUCCAAAUCAACUAAACCUUAACCGAUCAUCACGUGAAAUAGAGUAGUUUUCAAUGGUGAACAUCACUAUGUUGAUCAUAUCUACUAUAUGAUUCACGCUCGACCUUUCGGUCUCAGUGUUCCGAGGCCAUAUCUGCAUAUGCUAGGCUCGUCAAGUUUAACCUAAGUAUUCUCCAUGUGCAAAACUGGCUUACACCCAUUGUAGAUGGGCGUAGAGCUUAUCACACCCGAUCAUCACGUGGUGUCUGGGCACGACGAACUUUGGCAACGGUGCAUACUCAGGAAGAACACUUUAUCUUGAAAUUUAGUGAGAGAUCAUCUUAUAAUGCUACCGUCAAUCAAAGCAAGAUAAGAUGCAUAAAAUAUAAACAUCACAUGCAAUCAAUAUAAGUGAUAUGAUAUGGCCAUCAUCAUCUUGUGCUUGUGAUCUCCAUCUCCGAAGCACCAUCAUGAUCACCAUCGUCACCGACGUGACACCUUGAUCUCCAUCGUAGCAUCGUUGUCGUCUCGCCAACUAUUGCUUCUACGACUAUCGCUACCGCUUAGUGAUAAAGUAAAGCAAUUACAGGGCGAUUUCAUUUCAUACAAUAAAGCGACAACCAUGUGGCUCCUGCCAGUUGCCGAUAAUUCGGUUACAAAACAUGAUCAUCUCAUACAAUAAAAUAUAGCAUCAUGUCUUGACCAUAUCACAUCACAACAUGCCCUGCAAAAACAAGUUAGACGUCCUCUACUUUGUUCUUGCAAGUUUUACGUGGCUGCUAUGGGCUGAGCAAGAACCGUUCUUACCUACGCAUCAAAACCAUAACGAUAGUUUGUCAAGUUAGUGCUAUUUUAACCUUCUCAAGGACCGGGCCUAGCCACACUUAGUUCAACUAAAGUUGGAGAAACUGACACCCGCUAGUCACCUGUGUGCAUAGCACGGCGGUAAAACCAGUCUCGCGUAAGCGUACGCGUAAUGUCGGUCCGGGCCGCUUCAUCCAACAAUACCGCCGAACCAAAGUGUGACAUGCUGGUAAGCAGUAUGACUUGUAUCGCCCACAACUCACUUGUGUUCUACUCGUGCAUAUAACAUCUACGCAUAAAACCAGGCUCGGAUGCCACUGUUGGGGAACGUAGUAAUUUCAAAAAAUUCCUACGCACACGCAAGAUCAUGGUGAUGCAUAGCAACGAUAGGGGAGAGUGUGUCCACGUACCCUCGUAGACCGAAAGCGGAAUCGUUAGCACAACGCGGUUGAUGUAGUCGUAUGUCUUCACGAUCCGACCGAUCAAGUACCGAACGCACGGCACCUCCGAUUCAUCACACGUUCAACUCGAUGACGUGCCUCGAACUCUGAUCCAGCCGAGCUUUGAGGGAGAGUUCCAUCAGCACGACGGUGUGGUGACAAUGAUGAUGUUCUACCGACGCAGGGCUCCGCCUAAGCACCGCUACGAUAUGACCGAGGUGGAUUAUGGUGGAGGGGGGAACCGCACACGGCUAAGAGAUCCAAGGGAUCAAUUGUUGUGUCUCUAGGGGGUGCCUCCCUCCCCGUAUAUAAAGGAGUGGAGGAGGGGGAGGGGGCCGGCCACCCUUGGUGCGNNNNNNNNNNNNNNNNNNNNNNNNNNNNNNNNNNNNNNNNNNNNNNNNNNNNNNNNNNNNNNNNNNNNNNNNNNNNNNNNNNNNNNNNNNNNNNNNNNNNNNNNNNNNNNNNNNNNNNNNNNNNNNNNNNNNNNNNNNNNNNNNNNNNNNNNNNNNNNNNNNNNNNNNNNNNNNNNNNNNNNNNNNNNNNNNNNNNNNNNNNNNNNNNNNNNNNNNNNNNNNNNNNNNNNNNNNNNNNNNNNNNNNNNNNNNNNNNNNNNNNNNNNNNNNNNNNNNNNNNNNNNNNNNNNNNNNNNNNNNNNNNNNNNNNNNNNNNNNNNNNNNNNNNNNNNNNNNNNNNNNNNNNNNNNNNNNNNNNNNNNNNNNNNNNNNNNNNNNNNNNNNNNNNNNNNNNNNNNNNNNNNNNNNNNNNNNNNNNNNNNNNNNNNNNNNNNNNNNNNNNNNNCCCAGUACUCCGGUAUAUAUCCGAUAACCCCCGGAACCAUUCCGGUGUCCGGAUAUAGUUGUCCAAUAUAUCAAUCUUCAUGUCUCGACCAUUUCGAGACUCCUCGUCAUGUCCGUGUUCACAUCCGGGACUCCGAACUACCUUAGGUACAUCAAAACACAUAAACUCAUAAUAUAACCGUCAUCGAACUUUAAGCGUGCGGACCCUACGGGUUCGAGAACUAUGUAGACAUGACAGAUACACGUCUCCGGUCAAUAACAAAUAGCGGAACCUGGAUGCUCAUAUUGGCUCCCAAAUAUUCUACAAAGAUCUUUAUCGGUCAAACCGCAUAACAACAUACGUUGUUCCCUUGCUCAUCGGUAUGUUACUUGCCCGAGAUUCGAUCGUCGGUAUCUCAAUACCUAGUUCAAUCUCGUUACCGGCACGUCUCUUUACUCGUUCCAUAAUACAUCAUCCCGCAACUAACUCAUUAGUUGCAAUGCUUGCAAGGCUUAUAGUGAUGUGCAUUACCGAGUGGGCUCAGAGAUACCUCUCCUACAAUCGGAGUGACAAAUCCUAAUCUUGAAAUACGCCAACCCAACAAGUACCUUCGGAGACACCUGUAGAGCACCUUUAUAAUCACCCAGUUACGUUGUGACGUUUGGUAGCACACAAAGUGUUCCUCCGGUAAACGGGAGUUGCAUAAUCUCAUAGUCAUAGGAACAUAUAAGUCAUGAAGAAAGCAAUAGCAACAUACUAAACGAUCAAGUGCUGAGCUAACGGAAUGGGUCAAGUCAAUCACAUCAUUGUCCUAAUGAUGUGAUCCCGUUAAUCAAAUGACAACUCAUGUCUAUGGUUAGGAAACAUAACCAUCUUCGAUUAACGAGCUAGUCAAGUAGAGGCAUACUAGUGACACUCUGUUUGUCUAUGUAUUCACACAUGUAUUAUGUUUCCGGUUAAUACAAUUCUAGAAUGAAUAAUAAACAUUUAUCAUGAUAUAAGGAAAUAAAUAAUAACUUUAUUAUUGCCUCUAGGGCAUAUUUCCUUCACGCGCCGCCUGCAUCGGAGACUCAUGCGCCGCCUCUGGCUAAACGCCCUCCUCUUCACGCAGUCCCUCAAAAGCAGCCUCACACUCCUCGACUGGCAUCAGGUUAUCACUAAAGGCCUCUCCCUCGAAUUGAUCUAGGAGAGUUGUUGGAACCACUGGGGACAGCCGACGCAGCACUCCCGGGGCCCCUGCCGUCUUGGAUACCUUCGUGGACACCGGGAUGGAUGAAGCGGGAGUAAGCUCAACCGUGGUAGCCGAAGUGGGGGUAGACAUGGCACUUGGAAUCGACUCCUGAGAGUUGGCUGCAGUCACCCCGGAGCCUAUGGUCCGUUCCCCAUCCAGCUCAGCAAUCGCCGGGAUGAUUUCCAUGUUGAACGCCUCAUGCCCCUGAGCCGUCACUACUAGGAAAAGGCCUACUAAUGGCGCACCUAUUUUGGCUACUAAUGGCGCACUAUAGGUGCGCCAUUAGUACCACGCCACUAGAAUAUUUUAGUAAUGGCGCACCACAGGUGCGCCAUUAGUAUCUCGCAGGUGCGCCAUUAGUAGCUGGUAUACUAAUGGCGCACCAGAUGGAAGUGCGCCAUUAGUAACAAUUUUUUUUUUAAAAUCGUUUUUUCUUAAUCUCAGGUCACUAUUUCACAUAUGAGAUAUCCAACACAUAUAUAUAUAUAUAUAUAUAUAUAUAUAUAUAUAUAUAUAUAACAAGCAUCCAUAUAACAAUCAUAUCCAACACACAAGUUUCAUCAUAUAUACAUACAUAGCCAACACAUAGUUCCAUCGUUACAUAUUACAAAAGUUUCACAUUGUUCAUCCAACACUGUUAUCCAUCAAUUCACAAAAGUUUCACGUUGAUACAAAAUAAAAACACAAAUGGAAAAGAAGCACUUCAUCCAUGCAAGCUUCCGUGAAUUAAAUCAAAUCUGCAAAAUGAUAAACAAGAAGUUAGAAGAAGAAGAAGAAGAAGAAGAAGAGAAGAAGAAGAAGAAGACUAGAAGAAUACUAGAAGAAGAAGAACACUAGAAGAAUACUAGAAGAAGAAUAAGAAGAAGACUAUAAGCUUAUUAUGUAAACUUGAUCAUUUUGUGCUAACAUAAGUAAUUUUGGAGCUAACCUAUAGAAAACUAAGCAUCUAAGCUCUCUAAGUUAGCAUAUUAGAGCCAACUUAGGUAAAAUGAAGCUAACCUAUGUCAUUUUGGAAAAGAAGAAGAGUAAGAAGAAUAAGAAGAAGACUAUAAGCUUAUUAUGUAAACUUGAUCAUUUUGUGCUAACAUAAGUAAUUUUGGAGCUAACCUAUAGGAAACUAAGCAUAUUAGAGAUAACAUAGGUAACUAAGUAUAUAUAUAUAUAUAUCAUUUUGGAGAUCUGACAUACCUGACAUAGUUCAGUUCUCAUUGUUCUUCUCCUUCUCCUUCCUCAGCCUGAUGCACCAAGAGCGGCGAGGCAGUGGAGGCAGCUGUGGGAUGUAGUCUUCUACCACAAUUGGCGUGGUCAUGUCGCCCAGCUGUGGGAUCGCCGGUGCCACCACCGGUGCGUGGUCAUUGUCAGGCACCACCACCAUCGCGAGGCCACCUUCAGGCAGGACGGGCACGACCAUCGCUAGGUCAUCCUUAGCCACCACCAUCUCUUGCCCAUGGUCAGCCACCACCAUCUCUUGGCCAUGGUCAGCCACCACCAGCGCUAGGUCAUCCUCAGCCUGAUGCCCAUCGUCAUCCUGCAGCUCCUCAUCCCCACUCUGCUCCUCUUCUCCCCCACUCCAGUCCGGAUCAUCCUUCUUGCUGUCUUUGCUGCUGCCAGAAUCGCUGCUGCUUUCGCUAAAGCCAGAAUCGCUGUUGCUUUUGCUACAGCCAUAAUCGUUGCUGCUUUGGCUGUAGCCAGUGUCGCUGCUGCUGCUCCCAUUGCCUGUCCAAAUGCAACAAUGACCGUUAACAAUCGAUGUGAGACAAAGCCAAAUGUAGAGGAAUAAGAAGAGGCAGAACGCACUGGCAUCUUCGUCGUCAGCGUAGCGCAUGCGACACAUAGUCGUGUUGAAAACCUUCACGAUGAGCAUUGUGGCGUCAUCGUCGUACCUGAAGAGAAGAAAGUACCCGGUCCGCAGGUCGUAGGCACUGUAGAACUUCUCCCAGCCACGGCACAGGUACAUGUGGCCCUCCUCGAUCACCAACUCCACGUCCCACAGCCUGCGAACCCCGCUGCCGGCUGUCGGAGCUUAACAUUAUCUGGCAGAUCUUCACCCAGCAUGUUCAUAAAAGUGUCAGGCAACCUCUGCAAUUUGGGACAAGGAGUGAUGUAGCAAACGACAGAGUUAUCAUAAUGAGAUGGGUGAAGGGGAGAUCUCUCGUUUAAUAUACCUGCCUCGUGGCUGAUACUGAAGUCCCAAGUAUGACACUGAAGAACUCGAAAGCAUCCAACUCGUACUCCGGUGAGGCAGAGCGGUGGUGGCUGCUUCCCCCCAUCUCUGAUAAGCAGCAGAAGAGACCAAUUAGUACCAGGAUUAUACAUCGACUAAUUAUACAUCUGACCCAAUUUAUAAAACAUGCGAUGUAUUCCACAAUACAAAGAACAACUACCAUUAAUCAGAGAACAAACAUAUGAUCUAAGGUGAAACAUUAGUGCCAUGGUUAGUGGUAAUUGGUAAAUGCUAUUUCUUUCUUUAGUCGAUUUCAUUUGCCUUGGUCUGAGAAAAAAAUGCUACGUUUAGGAAAUGCAAACAUUAGAUUAGAAAUUAUGUAGAAUAGAUAAUCAACUUUGCUGAUUCCUAAUAAUAUACUUAUUGAUUGACAUUUAGGAUCAAAAUGCAACCAAUGAAAAAAGAAAACAGAGGAUCAGAGACAAGCCAUGUCUUGCAUUGUUUCUAUUUUUGUGUUUACGGAAGUACCUAAUGGUAUUUUUAUGAUGUUUUGCAGCUGGUGAAAACGUAUGAAAUUGCAUUGUUUUGCAGCUGGUGAAAGAAGCACCUAAUUGCAUUAACACAUGUCCAGUUCCAAUAGAAAUCUUGGGGUACAUUCAUGCUUCAGACCCAUAACAGGAGCUUUUACUGGUUCAGAACACAUCAUGCUCUAAAAAUCCAAGUUCUCUACUUCACACACAGGUACUACCUUCCUCAUCUCUCUGCCCUCUCCCUCUUCCCAUACCCCCAUCUAGAUGUCGACGAGACCCUGGCUCGAGGCCACGAGUGGUAGAUUCUUUGAUCAUUUUAUGUAGAAUAGAUAAUCAACUAUUUGUGCAGAUAACUAUGUAAACUACAAUACCUUACAUGUAAGCAGUGCAAAAGGAGAUGAAGAAGAUAUCAGUUGCUAAACCCGACAGCAAUUGUUACACCGCUUUAAUAUCUCUCAACACUUUCUAGUAGAAACUAACAACCUGUAUCAUCACAUAAGGUUUGCCCUAUUGAAGUUUUGCACGAUUUGGAUUAUAUAACAGUUAAUGAUGUAAUAUGGCAAUGAAACAAUUGCAUUAAAAAAACUAAGACAUGUGGAAGAGUGGACAUUGUACCUGUCAAUGGAGAGGAUUGCUCUGCAACACCACCACUUCUCAAACUUGACCUUCACAACACACUACAUAGACAGAUGUAAACUAAAAUAUGAAUUCCUUUGCACUGGGAUCAUAAAACAAAAUAUUUAGAACUGAAUCAUAUAGUAAUUAAUCACAAUCUACAGGGCUGCUGCACUCUAAUCUUUGCAAAAGAACAAAAAAUAACAUUGUUUUAACCUAAACAGAAGUGCCAAAUACUAAACAAUGACCAUUGUUGUUAUACUAGUGAACUAUCUGCUAGAGAUUCUACACCCAUACUGAAAAAGGGAGUCAGUCGAUGGUGAUGGAGUCGGCGCUGGACAGGUGGGAGGGAAUGGGGAAUGGUGGAGAGAGGGAGGAAGGAGGAAGGAGGAGAGGUACCUGGUCGCCGGAGGGGUCGGGGUCGGCGGAGGGGUCGCGGUCGGGGUCCGAGCUCGUCCGGGUCCUCGCUCGCUGCUGUCGAAGGAGAGCAGGGGCCGGUGGCGGAGGACGGCAGGGGCAGGCGGGAUGGGCGCGUCGGGGCCGCGCUCGCCGGCUGCUGCAGGGGCCGGAGGAGGCCCUCGCUUGUCGGANNNNNNNNNNNNNNNNNNNNNNNNNNNNNNNNNNNNNNNNNNNNNNNNNNNNNNNNNNNNNNNNNNNNNNNNNNNNNNNNNNNNNNNNNNNNNNNNNNNNNNNNNNNNNNNNNNNNNNNNNNNNNNNNNNNNNNNNNNNNNNNNNNNNNNNNNNNNNNNNNNNNNNNNNNNNNNNNNNNNNNNNNNNNNNNNNNNNNNNNNNNNNNNNNNNNNNNNNNNNNNNNNNNNNNNNNNNNNNNNNNNNNNNNNNNNNNNNNNNNNNNNNNNNNNNNNNNNNNNNNNNNNNNNNNNNNNNNNNNNNNNNNNNNNNNNNNNNNNNNNNNNNNNNNNNNNNNNNNNNNNNNNNNNNNNNNNNNNNNNNNNNNNNNNNNNNNNNNNNNNNNNNNNNNNNNNNNNNNNNNNNNNNNNNNNNNNNNNNNNNNNNNNNNNNNNNNNNNNNNNNNNNNNNNNNNNNNNNNNNNNNNNNNNCUCGCGGGGGUCGGGGCGGCGGCGUCGAGGCAGCGCAAGACCACAGCGGCGGCGGCGUGCAGGCGCGGCGGACGGAGGGGGCGGAGCAAGGGGGCGGCGGCGUACGGUUGGGGUCGAGUGGGGGAUCUGGCGAGGGAGGGAGGGAGAGGCCACAGUGCGAGGGGAACAAGUGGAGUCGGUUAGCAAUGGCGCACCUCCCCCUAGUGCGCCAUAAGUACGUCGAUUCUAAUGGCGCACCGCCCCUGGUGCGCCAUUAGAAUUUUAUUUUAAUUACUAGCCCGACUGGUCAGGUUAUAUUCAACCUAACCCUAUCUCCAUCAGAACACGCCCACUAGCCCGAUUGGUCAGCACGCAGCACACACACUAGGAGGUCUUGGGUUUGAUUCCCAGGCUCCCCAAUUUUUGUUUUUAUGCAUUUAAAAUGUUGUUUGAUAUUUAUUUGUGUUUAAAUAUGUUCAAACUUGUUUAAAUCAUAACAGUAAUAUUUUUUUUGUAAAAACAGUAAUGAUUUUUUAAAAAAUAUCAUCAAAUUUGUUAUUUGAAAAUAUAAUUAAAUUUGCUUUUUUUUGCAAAUUUAGUUGCAUUCAUUUGUGACGGUGGAGCGGGCCGGGGAAGGUGCGGGGGGUCGUCGGCGGCGGUGGNNNNNNNNNNNNNNNNNNNNNNNNNNNNNNNNNNNNNNNNNNNNNNNNNNNNNNNNNNNNNNNNNNNNNNNNNNNNNNNNNNNNNNNNNNNNNNNNNNNNNNNNNNNNNNNNNNNNNNNNNNNNNNNNNNNNNNNNNNNNNNNNNNNNNNNNNNNNNNNNNNNNNNNNNNNNNNNNNNNNNNNNNNNNNNNNNNNNNNNNNNNNNNNNNNNNNNNNNNNNNNNNNNNNNNNNNNNNNNNNNNNNNNNNNNNNNNNNNNNNNNNNNNNNNNNNNNNNNNNNNNNNNNNNNNNNNNNNNNNNNNNNNNNNNNNNNNNNNNNNNNNNNNNNNNNNNNNNNNNNNNNNNNNNNNNNNNNNNNNNNNNNNNNNNNNNNNNNNNNNNNNNNNNNNNNNNNNNNNNNNNNNNNNNNNNNNNNNNNNNNNNNNNNNNNNNNNNNNNNNNNNNNNNNNNNNNNNNNNNNNNNNNNNNNNNNNNNNNNNNNNNNNNNNNNNNNNNNNNNNNNNNNNNNNNNNNNNNNNNNNNNNNNNNNNNNNNNNNNNNNNNNNNNNNNNNNNNNNNNNNNNNNNNNNNNNNNNNNNNNNNNNNNNNNNNNNNNNNNNNNNNNNNNNNNNNNNNNNNNNNNNNNNNNNNNNNNNNNNNNNNNNNNNNNNNNNNNNNNNNNNNNNNNNNNNNNNNNNNNNNNNNNNNNNNNNNNNNNNNNNNNNNNNNNNNNNNNNNNNNNNNNNNNNNNNNNNNNNNNNNNNNNNNNNCCGGGGCGGUGGCGGGUGCCGUCGGCGGCGGCGGGUGGUUGGGACGGUGGGGCGACGGGGCGAGGGGAGGUGGGGGCGGCGUAGUAGUUUUGCAAAAAAGUAAAAAAUAAAAAAAUAUUGUAGUGGCGCACUAUGUGGCUGGUGCGCCAUUACUAGUUAGAACUAGUAAUGGCGCACUGUGCCCUGCUGCGCCAUUAGUAUGUCUGGAAAAAAAAUUGUUACUAAUGGCGCACCGUGUGUCUGGCGCGCCAUUAGUGUAUUUCACACUAAUGGCGCACCAGCACAUGGUGCGCCACUGCUACAUAGCAAUGGCGCACCACAUGUCUGGUGCGCCAUUAGUGGUCAUUCCAUUUAUAGCCCUUUUCCUAGUAGUGCGUGAUGGCCCCAGGGUUGUCCUUGAGCACAUUUGUCAUCGCCUUGUCCAACAUCUCUCUCAGCCCCAGGUUGGAGCCGUAUUGAUCCACUCCCAGUUCCACCGAGCCCCAUGCCUGCCGGAACAUCGUGGGGAUGUCCACCCGAGGUAGAGUGGUCGUGGGCUUUGGAGGGCGCGCAGACGCGACGACAGCCAGAACCUCGCCUCCCUGGGGCCCGGAGCCGCCCCCUGCUUGCUUUCCGCCAUGGCCCAAGGAGGCCGCAUUAGAGCCCUUGCCAUCCGUAGUCUCCUUCAAUCUCCUGACCCCUGCCGCAUCCCACUCGGCCGUGUUGAGACUUGGAGCCGAUUCCUCCUCCUCAUUGUCGUCGUCCGUGGGUGGGGGUGCGGCGGUGGUGGCAGGGGCUCAACAUUAGGAGCAUAUGCCCCCCCACCUCACGAUUUUCAAUAGUUGCUCGUCGUCCAAGUCGAAAAUCAAGGUUCUAUCUGAUUCUAACUAUAUUUUUUAUGUGAGUUCAUCAGCUUAAAUGCAUUGAUAUUAUUUUGUUGGGUUGAUAAAUAGAAACAAUCAUGCAUUCUAGUUAUAAAAGGAAGUAUGAUUCUGGUGCCUUAAGAGCCCAUACUUUAUACAUGAUACAUGUGGUGACUAAAGUCGAGUCGGCUCGUGGAGCACCCGUGAGUGAUUCACGGAUUGGGGGCUGAAAGGACCUUUGUCCCGACGGCCCUCUGGGUGGAUCUUUGUGGCGGAGCGACAGGGCAGGUUGAGACUACCUAGGUGAGAGGUGGGCCUGGCCUUGGUCGGCGUUCGCAGUUACAUCAAUUAACACGUUUAACGAGUUCUUGGUAUUUGAUCUGAGUCUGGCCACUGGCCUAUACGCACUAACAAACUACGCGGGAAUAGUUAUGGGCUCUCGACGUCGUGUUAUCAGCCGAAGCCUUCGUGACGUUAGCGACUGAGCGGCGCGCGCCGGGCUGGACCGCGUAACGCAACUUCCUUUGAAAUGGAGGUUGCUAGGUCUGCUCUCCGGCCGCGUACGCAACGUGCAGGUGUGCAAUGGGCGAUGGGCCUAGACCCCUGCGCGCAUAGAAUUUAGACCGGCGUGUUGACCUCUCUAUUGUGCCUAGGUGGGGCUGUGACGUGUUGAUCUUCCAAGGCCAGGCAUGAUCCAGGAAAGUGUGUCCGGCCAAAUGGGAUCGACCGUGUCGGGUUAUGUGGUGCACCCCUGCAGGGAAGUUUAUCUAUUCGAAUAGCCGUGUCCCUCGGUAAAAGGAUGACCCGGAGUUGUACCUUGACCCUAUGACAACUAGAACCGGAUACUUAAUAAAACACACCCUUCCAAGUGCCAGAUACAACCCGGUGAUCGCUCUCUCACAGGUCGACGAGGAGAGGAUCGUAGGGUAGGAUUUUGCUAUGCGAUGAUACUUGGUGAACUUACCAUCUACUCUCUUCUACAUGCUGCAAGAUGGAGGCUGCCAGAAGCGUAGUCUUCGACAGGAUUAGCUAUCCCCUUCUUAUUCUGGCAUUCUGCAGUUCAGUCCACCGAUAUGGCCCCUUUACACAUAUACCCAUGCAUAUGUAGUGUAGAUCCUUGCUUGCGAGUACUUUGGAUGAGUACUCACGGUUGCUUUUCUCCCUCUUUUGCCCGUUUCCAUUCUACCUGGUUGUCGCAACCAGAUGUUGGAGCCCAGGAGCCAGACGCCACCGUCGACGACGAUUCCUACUACACCGGAGGUGCCUACUACUACGUGCAGGCCGCUGAUGACAGCCAGGAGUAGUUUAGGAGGAUCCCAGGCAGGAAGCCUGCGCCUCUUUCGAUCUGUAUCCCAGUUUGUGCUAGCCUUCUUAAGGCAAACUUGUUUAACUUAUGUUUGUACUUAGAUAUUAUUGCUUCCGCUGACUCAUCUAUGAUUAGUGUACGAUUGAAUCGGGGGCGUCACAAGUUGGUAUCAGAGCCGACUGCCUGUAGGAAUCCCCCUUCCACACUCCUUGGCCGAAGUCGAAUCUAGACAUUGCAAAAACGUUUACUAACAUGGCUGUGUGUCUUACAGGCCCAUGUCGCCAUUGGGUGGUACUAGGAUCUUUUACUCCUCGAACCUUACUCUGGGAUUCUAAUCUCUCUUCUAUUCGGGUUAAAUGAUUUUCUAAAAAUCUAGCUUUAGGUUCUCGAAAACACUUUCUCCCGGAGAGCCCCUUCAGUCCAGAUGAUCGCCGGCUGCACCAGAAGAUUUCGAAGUUACUCUCCGAUACUCUUUUGAGACUUUGUGCGCGUUGCUUUUGCAAUUCCCUACCACCGAAAUAUCCCUAUGGAUAAAUACAUACACUUGCUGUUCUUACUUUUAUCCCCAGUUGGUCUUGUUAUUACAAGAUACCCUAUAAUACUCGUUGUUGUUCCAAGAAUCCCUUGUGCCACUGCCUUGCGGUUCCUUGCCGCAAAAAUAUCCUUACGAUUUGUUUCUUCACACUAAUCGAGGAACCGUUCAUUACUAGUUGUUCAUAGGAUUCACUAGAUACGUUGAAAUACCACCCGAUCUUCCGGUAAUUCUCUGCCAACUAUUGUUCUGCAAAUACUUGUCUACUUGCAGUCUGGAAAAUUCCAUUUGUCUAGCAAUAACCAUUAAAAUCCUUGUGAUUGACAUUCUGAUCCUAUUGAUUUGACAUGUGUGUGAAUGCACACAAUCAUCAGUUAUUCCCUGAAAAUUAUCCUUCCGGCUCAGAUGUCAUUUUAAAUGUGAGCUGGUUCUCAUCCAAUCAAAUUAUCAUCGAUUGUAUCCCUAAGCCUACUCAACUUAUCCAUCCUUAAUCAGAGCGUUUGCUUCUGAUCCUUUGAUUUGGAAAUCACAAUUCCUUUGCAUUUGUGUUUGAAUUAGUUGGUUGUUUCUAUAAUCCAAUGCCUUUGCAUUGUUUCUUCCUCUGGUUGAGUACCGAUGCUUACAUCAGAUCCCUUGAGGACCAUCGGAUCCUUUGUUGUAUUUUAUCCGACAACGUCCUUCAUAUUCAAUCACUUUGGAAGUUCUUUCCCCGAUACAUAUUGCCAUUGGUAAAUCCUAUUCCUUGAUUUGGCCAACCAUGCUCUGCUUUCGAGUUGGUGAUAUUUACUAUUGAAGCUUGUGGUAUAUGUUCGAUGCCCCGAUGGGUUGAACCUAUGCCUUCCUUAAUAUGUGUGAACUCGAAAGUUUUCACGAGUCAUACUCUUCUGGUGUUUUUCUAGAUAAAAUUAACAUUACAACUUCUUCAAAAAAUGAGAAGUGAAUGAAUGGUUAUGCAUUGGAGAAGUGGGAGUCGACCUUGAACUUUGUGUUCAUGCCCAUUGACACGAUGUAGAUCCUACCAUGUAAGCUUCUUGUAAUAAUAGCUAUUUCGUUGAUAUAAUAUCAUCUGCUAUCUGUGAAUUGAUCCUUUGCAAUCGUGGUUCCGACCAUAUUUUCUCCUUGAUUCCAUUUCUUAGGCAAGUGAAAACACUUGUCUUCUGCAGAUCAAUACAUCUCCGCAACCCCUGUGUCGAUCUUCCUUUGAGUAAUACCCUCCAGUAUCUCGAGAAUAUCAAAGAACUGUGUUUCUUACUAGUCUUCAUCUAGUAUUUCUUCUCACCGAUUUCAGAUUUCCCCUGGGUUAUGAGUUAUUUCACUCGAGAACACCGAUAAGUGAAUCGAUUCCGUGCUCCAAUUCAAUAACUCUAAGUAAAUUUCAUUGCUUACGAGUUUAAUAAUCCUUCAAAUCAUUCCUAGCCUGAUCAGUUAUAUUAUUAUUGUGCUAAAUUUUAAACUGUGCCACCCGGUCCUUAUUCCCAGAGCACAGCUUUCGACAAUGAGCUAAGCUUACGUCGAUCUUCCUCGUCUUAUCGUUCGCCUUCAACAACAAGCUUGAUUUCGAGUUUGUAGCAUACCCAUGGUCCCAAUAACCUUUCGCUUCAUCAUUCCUUUGACUUGAUGUCGUCGCUGGUUGAUUACAUCUUCAUGAAAUCUCUCGACAAAUGUGUCGUGAUCAUCAUCAACCUUAUGAGCUGUUCCAGGAUAUCAAUCGAAUUCAUGAUGAGAAAUACCAUCCUUGCCCUCGAUGAUUUGUGUCAUCAUCGACCACUUUAUUGCCUUCUGUUCAACACAAACUUGUUCGUGAUUCGUGUUAUACCUUGAGAUCCAUGCUAUCCAGCAAUUGUUCUUCUUUACCUUGGAGUAUUACCAUCUUUUAUGUCAAUAAUGUCAUGAGAAUUUCACCACCUCUUAUGCAUUCUUAGUACAAGUGAUACUUCCUUUCAUCUCUGUUCAUUCCUUGGUCCCCGUGUUGUUUCUAACCGGAAAACCGACAAUUGAACUAUGAUGUGUGAAUUCAAAACUUCUAGCAACCCUAUUGCUUUGAAAGUAAUGGUCGACAUUUCAUUCUUAGGCCAUUGAUUAUCGAAUCACCAUUCUAACAUUGAUCGUACUACCUAAGCCCAUAUUUUGGGUGCACUUUUCAAUCAAUGUUUAAUUGUGUAUGUUUUCCUCGAGCAUACCUCAUUAUAUCAUUUGAUCCGACAAAUGUUAUUUCCUUGUUCACAUAAUUGUGGAAAUCCAUCUUUUGAAAACCUUGAGGAAUUAUCGCUGAGACCAUCAGCCACCCCCUCAUCCUCUCCUUGGUUUAAUGAUGAAUUCUUCUUUCAGAUCUCGUUUCCAUACUUCAUUUCCUGAGAAUCUUACAAUGUCAUCUCGUCAAUUUGUGUUGCACCUUUUCUCUCAGGCAUACAGAGUCUGAGGUAUCCUUACACCAAUCAGAUCUGAAUCUUGGUCAGAUUUGAUGGUUGGAGCAUUUUCCAAGAGUCAUAACAUUGGUCUUUAUAUCACCCGGUAAGGUGAUGUCAUGCCUAGCACACCUGGCCGGAGGACCUGUUGUUACCAUUUCCUUUUUAGCAAGGUUAUCCAUUCUUCCAUGAGGAAAUUGUAAGACUGAUUCUAUGAGUUCCCCUGAUGGAUCAUUUGUGAAUCCUAAGUCUGAUCUUUACUUGAUGACCAUGUCAAUGCUAUCACGAAGCAUGUCAAUGGUACUCCGAUUUUCAAUAAGAACAUUUGAAGCACAAUGCUAAAUUUUCUUUAUCAAUUAUUCAAACACCGUUGUUUGGGUAAUGUCAUAUAAUUCCUCUCCCCUUACCUAAAUGGUUUACUACUUUCUAUCCUGUCAUGGAUAUCAUGGUCUGCUUGUCCUUGGGAAAGAUAUACCCCUGAAUUAUGUGUUUAAACACAUUUUCCUUUCCAUUGUUUGGUUUAACCCUUCUUGUGAUCUAUAUGAUCCAAGCAGAAAUAUUCUCCUGCUUAUGUAAACACCUCGGUGUACAAUUCUGUCAGCAAGACCCUGUUACUAUUGUUGAUGACAUUCCGGUAACCACCGAUGGACGAGAACUUUGCCUAUUGGUCCGCCUCGUUCAACGAGCAGGAAAAUGGUUCUUUUCGUCCCUCGCCCUAGGUACCAACGUUGUUGCCAAUAAAACUGACAGGCUAUCCUCUGACAUACUUUGCUAUCUUGACCGUGCAAAUGUUAGCGCCUUCCUGCUUUUAACCCACAUGGUGGGCCCAUAACCCACAGUUCCACAAGAUCGAAACCCGACUCUCCUAUACACCCCCUGUUGUCAAAGUUAUUCCUCGCGCUUGACUUUGUAUGUGUUGGGUAACGUAGCAAUAAUUCAAAAUUUUCCUACAUGUCACCAAGAUCAAUCUAGGAGAUGCUAGCAACGAGAGAGAGGGAGUGCAUCUUCAUACCCUUGAAGAUCGCUAAGCGGAAGCGUUACAAGAACGCGGUUGAUGGAGUCGUACCCGCGGCGAUUCAAAUCGCAGAAGAUCCGAUCUAGCGCCGAAUGGACGGCGCCUCCGCGUUUAACACACAUACAGCCCGGGGACGUCUCCUCCUUCUUGAUCCAGCAAGGGGAGAGGAGAAGUUGAGGGAGAAAUCCAGCAGCACGACGGCGUGGUGGCAAUGGAGCUCGUGGUUCUCCGGUAGAGCUUCGCUAAGCACUACGGAGGGGCUGCGCCAGGCAAGGGUGCGGCUGCCCUCCCACCCCCUCACUAUAUAUAGGGGGAAGGGGAGAGGGGGCCGGCCCCUCUAGAUGGAUCUAGAGGAGGAGGCGGCGGCCAGGGGAAACCCUAGAUGGGUUUGGGCGUCCCACCCCCUAGGAAACUUGCCCCCCAAGCCGGGAGGGGCGGCUGCCCUAGGGGUGGCGCCCCCACCUCUCCUGGUUACAUGAGAGGGGUUGGGAGGGGCGCACAGCCCCUUAGUGGGCUGGUUUGCCCCUUCCCCUUGGCCCAUAAGGCCCCCAACGCUUGCCGGGGCCUCCGAAACCCCUUUCGGACAUGCUGGCCAUAGCCUGGUACCCUCGGAAUAAUUCCGGACUCCAAUACCCUUCGUCCAAUAUACCGAUCUUCACCUCCGGACCAUUCCGGAGCUCCUCAUCAUGUCCGGGAUCUCAUCCAGGACUCCAAACAACCUUCGGUAACCACAUACUAUUUCCCAUAACAACUCUAGCGUCACCGAACCUUAAGUGUGUAGACACUACGGGUUCGGGAACCAUGCAGACAAGACCGAGACACCUCUCCGGCCAAUAACCAAUAGCGGGAUCUGGAUACCCAUAUUGGCUCCCACAUGUUCCACGAUGAUCUCAUCGGAUGAACCACGAUGUCGGGGAUUCAAUCAAUCCCGUAUACAAUUCCCUUUGUCUAUCGGUAUGUUACUUGCCCGAGAUUCGAUCGUCGGUAUCCCAAUACCCUGUUCAAUCUCGUUACCGGCAAGUCUCUUUACUCGUUUCGUAACGCAUGAUCCCGUGGCUAACUCAUUAGUCACAUUGAGCUCAUUAUGAUGAUGCAUUACCGAGUGGGCCCAGAGAUACCUCUCCGUCAUACGGAGUGCAAAUCCCAGUCUCGAUUCGUGCCAACCCAACAGACACUUUCGGAGAUACCUGUAGUGCACCUUUAUAGCCACCCAGUUACGUCGUGACGUUUGGUACACCCAAAGCAUUCCUACGGUAUCCGGGAGUUGCACAAUCUCAUGGUCUAAGGAAACGAUACUUGACAUUAGAAAAGCUCUUAGCAAACGAACUACACGAUCUUGUGCUAUGCUUAGGAUUGGGUCUUGUCCAUCACAUCAUUCUCCUAAUGAUGUGAUCCCGUUAUCAAUGACAUCCAAUGUCCAUGGUCAGGAAACCAUAACCAUCUAUUGAUCAACGAGCUAGUCAACUAGAGGCUUACUAGGGACAUGUUGUGGUCUAUGUAUUCACACAUGUAUUACGGUUUUCAGUUAAUACAAUUAUAGCAUGAACAAUAGACAAUUAUCAUGAACAAGGAAAUACAAUAAUAACCAUUUUAUUAUUGCCUCUAGGGCAUAUUUCCAACAGUAUGUAGUUCACGGGCCACCUGCCUAGUGAUCUAUUCUGGUAUCAGACGCAAUACUUAUUCCCAUUGCUCUGGACCCCCCUUUUCACUUUGUUUUAGGCUUCGAACGAUUGCCUACCCGCUUGAUACUUCUCAUGGUACUUUCUUACUUUGCUCUUGAUAUUUUCUUAAGUUUCAGUUCGAGAGUUACUUUCCGCCACCUUCCCCGAUGUUAGCUACCAGAUAGUCAACCUUACAGGCCCGUUCUCCCGGAAUACCCCCCCUUUAUUCUUUCGUAAGUACGAUGGGAAUUCCCGGAGAAAGAAUGCUGACUUCAUCACAUCAACGUAAUGGAUCGACCUCUUCGAGAAGAGCAACCAAGACCGAGAAGAUCCGUUAGAUUUUUCGUAACCCAAUCCCUCCCCCCCUUACUCCCCUCCUAAAUCUCGGGACGAGAUUUCUUGUAGUGGAGGAGAAUUGUGACGCCCGGAUAAUUAAGCUACAGUAAUCCCACAUUAACGAUGCCACGUCACCUCCGUUACUGUUGCUAAUCUCGCGUUAGUUCGAAACCGAUUCAAAUUUAAAUUCAAAAUCAAGCAAACAAUAAAAGUUUUUAAAUAAAAUAAAACUAAAAUGUUCGGAGUGAACCAAAUAUUGCAUAGGUAAUUUUGGUGAAGAAACCACACUUUUAUAAAAGUGUAAAAUACUCAAAAAUGUUUUAAACAGUAGCAAAAACAAUUAUUUGAAUGCCUUUUACAAUAAAUAAAAUAUUAAACUAUAUUAAUUAGUUUCCCAAACUUAUGUGGCAGUAGCCUAUUUAUUAACACUAAAGUAGGGACUACUUUUAGUGUUUAUAAAACUAUAAAUAAAAAAGAGGAACUAAAAUUAAAACAGAAAAGGAAAAGCAAAACAAAAGAAAUAGAAAACAAUAGGAAAUAUAAAAUUAAAACUAAAAUAAAGCAACCCUCCCCCCCAACUGGGCCUCAGCCCAGCCAGCGGCCUACCAGGCCGGCCCACCCCACUCCCCUAUAUGGCCUACCCCAGCCUCUCCCAAAACCCUAACCCCCUCACUCACCCCCUCGCUCUCCCCUCCCCCUCCCCCGAUCCAGAUCGGAUCGGGGCACGACGCCGCCGUGCGCCGCCGCCUCGCCCUCGUCAGCGUCGCCGCUACCGGAGCCCCGACGUUCGACGGACGUCCCCGUNNNNNNNNNNNNNNNNNNNNNNNNNNNNNNNNNNNNNNNNNNNNNNNNNNNNNNNNNNNNNNNNNNNNNNNNNNNNNNNNNNNNNNNNNNNNNNNNNNNNNNNNNNNNNNNNNNNNNNNNNNNNNNNNNNNNNNNNNNNNNNNNNNNNNNNNNNNNNNNNNNNNNNNNNNNNNNNNNNNNNNNNNNNNNNNNNNNNNNNNNNNNNNNNNNNNNNNNNNNNNNNNNNNNNNNNNNNNNNNNNNNNNNNNNNNNNNNNNNNNNNNNNNNNNNNNNNNNNNNNNNNNNNNNNNNNNNNNNNNNNNNNNNNNNNNNNNNNNNNNNNNNNNNNNNNNNNNNNNNNNNNNNNNNNNNNNNNNNNNNNNNNNNNNNNNNNNNNNNNNNNNNNNNNNNNNNNNNNNNNNNNNNNNNNNNNNNNNNNNNNNNNNNNNNNNNNNNNNNNNNNNNNNNNNNNNNNNNNNNNNNNNNNNNNNNNNNNNNNNNNNNNNNNNNNNNNNNNNNNNNNNNNNNNNNNNNNNNNNNNNNNNNNNNNNNNNNNNNNNNNNNNNNNNNNNNNNNNNNNNNNNNNNNNNNNNNNNNNNNNNNNNNNNNNNNNNNNNNNNNNNNNNNNNNNNNNNNNNNNNNNNNNNNNNNNNNNNNNNNNNNNNNNNNNNNNNCGUGCCAGCCCCCGCUCUGCGCCGCUCGCCAGCGCCCACCCGCUGCCGCGGCUCACCUGCCGUCGCCCGCCUAUGCCGCUAGCUCCGGCACCGCGCCCCAUCUCCGGCUGCUGAGCCCGCCUACGCCGACUGCAUCCGCCUUCAGCCACGCGCAGGCAACCGUCCCGUGCCGCCUCUGCUUCUUGGCCGGCGCUGCCGUCCCACCUCGCCGCUGCGCUGCUCCUCCGCCGUCAUUGCUGCCUCCGGCCGCCGCUGCCGCCAAGACCGCUCCCCGGCCGGCGGCGAUGGCCUCGCCCGAGCCAGCACCCUGGCUCGCCCCAGUUGGGUGCCCACGCGCCCGUUACCGCUAGCGCUAGUGCCUGGUUUGGCCUAUGUGCCCAUGACAGCCAGGGCCCACCCCUAGAAUGAUUAAAAAAUGAAUUUAAUAAAAUCAAUAAUUAAUAUUUACUUAAUUAACAAAAUAGUGAAUUAAUUAAGAUAAUUAAUUUUGUUUAACUAUACUAAUUAAAAUUAGUUAACCUAAUCAUUUAGCUAAACUAAUUAAACUUAUUUAGUUAGUCUUAGACAAUGACGAAUGGGACCCACACGUCUGUUGACCCAGUCAACAGACGGUUGACUGAUGACAUCAUGCUGACAUCAUGCUGACAUCAUAAUUACAUUUUAUAAUUAAUUUAAUUCUGUCAAUUACUCGAAAUGAAUUAAAUCUUUAAAAAUUAAUAUUAAAUAAUCCGUAUCUCGGAUGAAAAAACUUUGUACAUGAAAGUUGCUCAGAACGACUAGACGAAUCCGGAUACGCAGCCCGUUCGUCCGCCACACAUCCCUAGCAUCGCAAACUCGCAACUUUUCCCCUCCGAUUCAUCUGUCCAAAAACGCGAAACCCCGGGGAUAUUUUCCCGGAUGUUUCCCCCCUUCGCCGGCAUCGCCUAGUACCACGUUAGGGCAAACCUAGCACCGCGUAUUGCCUCGUUAUGUUUUGUGAUUCUUUGUUUGCUCUGUAUUUACUGUUUCUUCCCCCUCUUCUUCUCCGGUAGACCCCGAGACCGAUGCCGCUGCUACCCAGUACGACUACGGUGUUGACGACCCCUCCUUCUUGCAAGAGCAACCAGGCAAGCCGCCCCCUUUGAUCACCAGAUAUCGCCUAUUCUUCUCUAUACUGCUUGCAUUAGAGUAGCGUAGCAUGUUACUGCUUUCCGUUAAUCCUAUUCUGCUGCAUAGCCUGUCUUUGCCACUACCGUUGUUACCUUUACCUGCAAUCCUACAUGCUUAGUAUAGGAUGCUAGUAUUCCAUCAGUGGCCCUACAUUCUUGUCCGUCUGCUGUGCUAUACUAUCGGGUCGUUAUCACUCGGGAGGUGAUCACGGGUAUAUACUAUAUACUUUAUACAUGCUACAUGUGGUGACUAAAGUCGGGUCGGCUCGUGGAGCACCCGCGAGUGAUUCACGGAUUGGGGGCUGAAAGGACCUUUGUCCCGAUGGCCCUCUGCGUGGAUCUUUGUGGCGGAGCGACAGGGCAGGUUGAGACUACCUGGGUGAGAGGUGGGCCUGGCCUUGGUCGGCGUUCGCGGUUACAUCAAUUAAUACGUUUAACGAGUUCUUGGUAUUUGAUCUGAGUCUGGCCACUGGCCUAUACGAACUAACCAACUACGCGGGAACAGUUAUGGGCACUCGACGUCGUGGUAUCAGCCAAAGCCUUCGUGACGUCAGCGAUUGAGCGGCGCGCGCCGGGUUGGACCGCGUAACGCAACUUCCUUUGAAAUGGAGGUUGCUAGGUCUGCUCUCCGGCCGCGUACGCAACGUGCAGGUGUGCAAUGGGCGAUGGGCCCAGACCCCUGCGCGCAUAGGAUUUAGACCGGCGUGCUCACCUCUCUGUUGUGCCUAGGUGGGGCUACGACGUGUUGAUCUUCCAAGGCCGGGCAUGACCCAGGAAAGUGUGUCCGGCCAAAUGGGAUCGACCGUGUCGGGUUAUGUGGUGCACCCCUGCAGGGAAGUUUAUCUAUUCGAAUUGCCGUGUCCCUCGGUAAAAGGACGACUCGGAGUUGUACCUUGACCUUAUGACAACUAGAACCAGAUACUUAAUAAAACACACCCUUCCAAGUGCCAGAUACAACCCGGUGAUCGCUCUCUCACAGGUCGACGAGGAGAGGAUCGUCGGGUAGGAUUAUGCUAUGCGAUGAUACUUGGUGAACUUACCAUCUACUGUCUUCUACAUGCUGCAAGAUGGAGGCUGCCAGAAGCGUAGUCUUCGACAGGAUUAGCUAUCCCCCUCUUAUUCUGGCAUGCUGCAGUUCAGUCCACCGAUAUGGCCCCUUUACACAUAUACCCAUGCAUAUGUAGUAUAGAUCCUUGCUUGCGAGUACUUUGGAUGAGUACUCACGGUUGCUUUUCUCCCUCUUUUCCCCCUUUCCAUUCUACCUGGUUGUCGCAACCAGAUGUUGGAGCCCAGGAGUUAGACGCCUCCGUCGAUGACGACUCCUAUUACACCGGAGGUGCCUACUACUACGUGCAGGCCGCUGACGACAGCCAGGAGUAGCUUAGGAGGAUCCCAGGCAGGAGGCCUGCGCCUCUUUCGAUCUGUAUCCCAGUUUGUGCUAGCCUUCUUAAGGCAAACUUGUUUAACUUAUGUCUGUACUCUGAUAUUAUUGCUUCCGCUGACUCGUAUAUGAUCGAGCACUUGUAUUCGAGCCCUCGAGGCCCCUGGCUUGUAUUAUGAUGCUUGUAUGACUUAUUUUAUUUUAGAGUUGUGUUGUGAUAUCUUCUCGUGAGUCCCUGAUCUUGAUCGUACACGUUUGCGUGUAUCAUUAGUGUACGAUUGAAUCGGGACCGAAACUGGCGCCGCCGGACCCAGGCCGAACCCGGCGCGCUGGGGCGCCAGGGGACGCGUUUUUGGCACGAAUGGGGAUGGGCCCGCCGAGUCAAUGAGACGCCGCUUCGUCGUCCUCAUCGCCUCGGUUCCCGCGGGAAUCAAUGCCAAGGCUGGCCAAGGCUGCCGCGCCGGUCAACCUCCAUUGAUGCCUCACGGGCGGCGCGGUGACGGUGCCACCGACGCGUGUCCCGCCCGCUCCCGCCACGCGUCGCUCGGCAUGCAGACUCUCACAGCCCCGCUUCGGCUAUAAAAGCCGAUCUCCCCGCCGGUGAACGCCAUAGUCGCCACACCUCGCCUCGUAGAGCCACGCAAAGCAACACUCCCCUCUCUUCCCCGCCGACGAGCAAUGGCUGAGAGGUACCCCGGCGACGCCGCGGAGGCGAACGGCUUCGGCCAUCGCCAUCUCCACGCGGAUGAGGCGCCUCCUCUACGAGGCCGACUACCCGGCGCCCCCGGACAUGCGUGUGCCGGGGGUGUGGAAGUUGAGCGCCGGCGGCGUCCCGGUGCCACCGGUGCCCGAAGGGGCUGCACGGUGGGCCGAGAUCGCCCGCAUCCGCGCGUUGCUGACGGAGGCGCAGUGGAAUGAGCCGAGGUACGCCGUCGAAAGCCACACGCUGUGGACGAUGUACUUCGAGCGCCGCAGCCAAGAGCAGAUUGUCUCCGCCAACGGCACCAUCCCCCGUGGCCGCCUCAACUCCGACGGGUGGCGCGAGUGGUAGGGCCUGCCCGGUCGCACCCUCAAGGCCGUCCUCGACUACAUCGAGACCGAGAACACGGCGCGCCUCGAGUACCCGCCGCGCCCGUUGUUCUCUCGCCGCCGCGGCAGCUCCUGGACGCCGCGGCAAAUGGAGCCAGGGAUGUCCUCCUCGUCGGGCUCCGACUCGCUCUCCUCCGGCUCGCCGGUGCUACGCCCCGUCAGGCCGGAGCCAGAGGAGACCCCGCUUCGGUGCCGCACCCGCAACGGCGCCCUCGUCAUCAACGAGGGUGGCCGCCCCUCCCGCGCUCCCUCCACCUGGUCCGGCCGAAGCCCGAGCCAGGGUUGCUCCCCGUGAAGCUGGAGCACGUGGACAUGUUGGCCCCCGACGACGAGGCCGCCCUCAAGUGGCCGAAGGAGGACUACGUCCGCGAGCAGGUGCUCCGCCAGCGCCAGGCAUACGCGGAGCUCCAGGCCCGGCGUCGUGGACGCGAGGAAGGGGCGUCACCGUCCUCGACAGCGACGACGAGGGCGAGGCCGGGCCGUCCAACCCCCCACCGCGCGUCGGCGACCCUGGCCAGGGGUGCAGCAGGGACUGCGGCGGCUCUGGCGGGGCGCGCGACGAUGACGGCGACGACUACACCCGUUUUUACAGGCUCCUCGGCAUGUAGAUGGCGGGCGGCGGCCGCGGCGUAGCAGGGCUAGGCGUAGUUUGCAUGCUUAUCUGUUUUUGUACAAAUUUCUAUCAAAUAUCGCCGAGUUUGUGCCAGAUCACCGAGUUUGUACAAAUUCUAUGAAAUAUCGCCGAGUUCGCGCGCUUUUCGCGGCGGCCUCGGGGGCGUCGUCUGGGAACGCAGCCGCCCUCACGCGCCAAGCAAACGCCGGUUCAGCACCUGACGGCUCUUUUUGGCGUCCUGAGGGCUCGAACGGCUGGAGAUGCUCUUAACAUGACUGACAUGAAGUAUGCGGUUGGAGAUGUCCUAAACUAGAUCCAGAGCAAUCUCAAGGAAGCAAUUUGUCUCGAGGUGCAUCCAUGGUCACCGUGUGCACGCGGGUGACCGACAUGACAUGCCAUUUGGAGGCUCCUCUCGGAGGAACAGCCGGAAUCGAGGACGGAGGAGCAAUCGAGGUUCAAGAGAAAAACCAAACGCCACUUGCCGUGGAACUCGUGACCCGUGACCGUGAGGCAACAGGCCACAUGCCGCGCGCAACGCGCGCCUCGUCCUCGUGGCCACAGACGCGCGCGAUGAAGCCCGAUCUCCGUGCCUGACCGAUCACUGAUCAGAUCUCACCCUUUGCAGCGUAGUACUCAAGUCUGUCCAACACAAGUCAAGUCUGCCCAGUCAAGUGUGCAAUGAGGAACGAAGCUUCACACCAGAGGACCGGAAGUUUGCAUCAGAAUGGCCUUACAUUCAGACCGGAAUAUCCUUCGUCAUUCACUCAUUUGGAUACGAAAUUGCACGGACGAUCAAGACGGGAACAAAUCGGGUUUGCAGCUCUUGAGAGGAAGCGUCAGUAGACCAGUGGAGCUCACCAUGGAAACAGUUCAUCAUCGGCGUGUUUCUGUCGCGGGACUCGUGACUGACUGACCGUAGCAGGACUGAUCGGUGGACCGUCACCCUUUGCAAGCAAAUUAGUUCAUAUAGGAAAGCAGCAGGAAAAGAAUAGGAAAAACAAGCACUCGAUUGAGAUCAUGAUAGAUGAGUUCGGGCCCCAUAUGGCCAUGUGUGCUGUCUUGCUUUAGAGUACGUGGGGUUCUUCACACCCCAAAAAGAGUACUAGUGGAACCUCAUGGAGCAUUAGCAGAUAACGACCUCGGUUCUCCACGGCAUAAACCCACCUUCAUUAGCUAAGCAAAUCUACCUCCUUCUCGUUUUAAGAUUUCUUUAUCGCUAGUUUAGUUUAUUUAUACUAGACGGUGUUAGUAGCCGCCCUGCAUGUUUUAGAUGUUCUAGUAUUGACAAAGAACAUGCUUUACAUGAGUAAAGUUUGCACGUUCAUAACUCGUAGCCCAGCGGUUGUCCUAUCAUCGUAUCAACUAGAAGGGUUGAACGUGCUUCGUUGCACCGCUGAUGUUAUUAGCAUUUCAUAAAGACAAAAUUUGGUUUGGUGCGUGAGGAAGAUGAUGAAGUGUUUUUUUAAUAUAAUGUGGUGUUUUGGUGGUUUUUAUUGUUGAUGUGAUUCGGUUUAUCCGCUAAUCAACUAAUACUAAUGUGGGAAAGUUUUUUGCCCUGCUAGUCGCAUGUACUAUAUUUGUGCUACAACAUGACAUGUUGGCGCUUCUUCUUUUUAGAUGUUGAAAGGGUGCAUAGGAGUGAUGUGUUUUUACACCCUUGUUGUUGAUUAAUUUGAAAAAUCAUUGACCCAAUCAUAAUCGUGAAUCAAAUCCAAAAUUGAAUAUAUUACACGCUCGACGUUGAUUAAUUUGAGAAAUUAUUGACCCAGUCACAAUUUUGAAUCAAAUCCAAAACUGAAUACCAUAACUGAAUGACAGAGCUGGUUGAGAAACAGUUGAUCCAGUCAAAAUCGUGAAUCAAAUAAAAAAAUUAAACACCCUAAUUGAGUGUGGGAAGCCUCCAAAAUUAAGAAGCAUACUUAAAUAGAGGUAACGCCGGCUUUCAGCAAUCAACACUAGGUGGUACUGCAUCUCAUGCGACUGCUGUGCUGAACAACUGAUCAUGCAUUAAUACUAAAUUGUUUUCUGGUAACAAAAAUAACAAUAAUAAUCAACACUUGUUACUUCAGCAUGUGUGCAUGUAUGAAAAAGAACUAGAGGCUGACGUGUGCUUCACCGCACCGUUCUUCACUCGUGGGAUUAACUCUUUUAUGCCUGGUAGAUCAUUGUGGUCAUUUGUUUUCUUUGAAUUUUAUCUAUGUUGACUUGUGUUUUAGUUAUGUUUUGGUGGUGAUUUUUUCGGUUCGUGUAUCGUGUUGGGUUGUUGUUGGAGACUAGUUGUUCCAAGAGGAGAAUGUAGUCGUUUGGUGGGUGUUUUUCGUGUGUGUUCACUCGUUUCAGCAUUGGUGUCAACCGAUGGUGGUGGUUUGAUCCUCUUGCUCCUUUUCCACAUUGAAACCAUGUAAUUGCUGCUAUAACACUCAAAUUGACUAGUCAUGAAGUUCUCUCUCGCACAGCUGCCUUCUUGCUCCUCUCGCUCACUUAGUCUUUUUUCCCCUCGCCCCACUGCUAGCUCGGAAAAAAAUCGCCUAUCAUUUAUUUAGAAUGUUAGUUUAAUUAAAAGAUGGUCAAGGAUUCUAAAAAUAUUGUGAAUUUUAAAAACCUAAAUUUUAGAAAAUGUUCAGGAAUUUCAAAUAUAUUCAUGGAUUUCAAAAAAAUGUUCAUAAAUUAAAUAAAUUUUCAAAUUUAAAAAGAGUUCACAAACUGAAAAAAUCAUCAUGGUAAAAAUAUCUACGAAUGUAAUAAAUGAAUCUAAAAAGAAAUGUGAAUUUUAAUAUAUUUUUUGCUUUUUAAUGCACACAAAUUCUAAUAAGCGCUAAUGAAUUAAAAAAAUAAAAAUAGAAAGGAUAAGGAGAAAUAAAACUAAACAGCUCACGACCUUACAGACGCUUGAAAUCAUGCAAGCUUAGUAUCUCUAUAGAUAGAUAGAUUAAGCUGAAACCGCAUGAAAAAACGUUGCUAUGUUCAUCAGUGCAUAUACCAUUACCAACGUUCCCGACCGCAAGAUAGACAACUCUGGUGCUGGAAGACUGAAGAAACACACAGCAGUACAUCUUCGUGCGUGAUCCGACGAGAACCUGGCGCUCGACCUGGAAAUGGAGGACGAGGAAGUCAGCAGCGCACCGCCCCUCACGAAACGAAAAGGCCCGGCGUGCUCUCUUCCCCCUCGUGCCACCAUGCCGGAUAAACCUCCCCGCGCCACCAACCGCCGUCCCCCUCGCGCGACGCGCACCAACCAGUUCCUGCUUUGCCCACGUCGACUGAGUCCGGCUGCCACGAAGCCACCACCGCGCGUAGCCACCACCCGCAGUCCGCUCCGUGCGAUCCCGUGGCGACAGGAGCUCCGCACCCGCCAAUCCAGUGGUCAACCCCGCCGUCCAGUUCUUCACCAACCAAAUCUCAUACCUACCUCCUCAGCUGCCUAUUUAAUCCCUCGCCUCCCUCCUUUCCCCUCCAAAGAGCCUCAGCUUCAUCUGCAGCUGAGCUCCUCUUCAGCACAUACAUCUGCCGGCGUCUAGCCAGCUUACUUUCAGAAUCCAGAUACACAUACCCCUGCCGGCGUCCAGCUAGCUCACUUGCUUUAGUACCUCUCUGCAUCUUUCGAUGGAGUGCGAGAAUGCACACGUUGCCGCCAACGGCGAUGGCUUGUGCGUGGCGCAGCCGGCGCGGGCCGACCCACUGAACUGGGGGAAGGCGGCGGAGGAGCUCUCGGGGAGCCAUUUGGAUGCGGUGAAGCGGAUGGUGGAGGAGUACCGAAGGCCCGUGGUGACCAUGGAGGGCGCCAGCCUGACCAUCGCCAUGGUCGCCGCGGUGGCUGCCAGCAGCGACACCAGGGUGGAGCUCGACGAGUCCGCCCGCGGCCGCGUCAAGGAGAGCAGCGACUGGGUCAUGAACAGCAUGAUGAACGGCACCGACAGCUACGGUGUCACCACCGGCUUCGGCGCAACCUCUCACCGGAGGACCAAGGAGGGCGGCGCUCUGCAGAGAGAGCUCAUCCGGUACGAAUUAAACCGCAGAACCAGUUCUACUUCUUGUUAAGCAUUUCUGUUAGUAGUUAUGUGUACCAGACUAUGAAUUGAGUUAUGGAAACCUUAUUUUUUCGUGAUUGCUUUUGAGUUCAGAUUCCUUAAUGCGGGAGCCUUCGGCACCGGCACCGACGGUCACGUCCUGCCUGCCGCGGCGACGAGGGCGGCGAUGCUCGUCCGAGUCAAUACCUUGCUCCAGGGAUAUUCAGGCAUCCGCUUCGAGAUCCUGGAGACGGUCGCCACGCUUCUCAACGCCAACGUGACACCAUGCCUGCCGCUCCGGGGCACGAUCACCGCAUCCGGUGACCUCGUCCCGCUUUCAUACAUCGCGGGCCUGGUCACCGGCCGCCCAAACUCCAUGGCGACCGCUCCAGAUGGCACCAAGGUUAAUGCCGCCGAGGCAUUUAAGAUUGCCGGCAUCCAACAUGGGUUCUUCGAGCUGCAACCUAAGGAAGGCCUAGCCAUGGUGAAUGGCACGGCAGUGGGCUCAGGGCUUGCAUCCAUGGUGCUUUUCGAGGCUAACAUCCUUAGCCUCCUUGCCGAGGUCCUGUCAGCCGUCUUCUGCGAGGUGAUGAACGGCAAGCCCGAGUACACCGACCACUUGACCCACAAAUUGAAGCACCACCCUGGACAGAUCGAGGCUGCCGCUAUCAUGGAGCACAUCCUUGAAGGCAGCUCCUACAUGAUGCUCGCGAAGAAGCUCGGUGAGCUUGACCCAUUGAUGAAGCCAAAGCAAGAUAGGUAUGCACUCCGCACAUCACCGCAGUGGCUUGGCCCUCAGAUUGAGGUUAUCCGUGCUGCCACCAAGUCGAUCGAGCGGGAAAUCAACUCCGUCAACGACAACCCACUCAUCGACGUCUCCCGUGGCAAAGCUAUCCACGGUGGUAACUUUCAGGGCACACCCAUCGGUGUGUCCAUGGACAACACCAGGCUUGCCAUUGCUGCGAUUGGCAAGCUCAUGUUUGCCCAAUUCUCAGAGCUGGUGAACGACUUCUACAACAACGGUCUUCCCUCCAACCUCUCCGGUGGGCGCAACCCAAGCUUGGACAAUGGCUUCAAGGGUGCCGAGAUUGCCAUGGCCUCCUACUGCUCCGAGCUUCAGUUCCUGGGCAACCCUGUGACCAACCAUGUCCAGAGUGCGGAGCAGCACAACCAAGAUGUCAACUCUCUUGGUCUCAUCUCCUCAAGGAAGACCGCCGAGGCCAUUGACAUACUCAAGCUCAUGUCCUCAACAUUCUUGGUCGCGCUGUGCCAGGCAAUCGACCUCCGCCACCUUGAGGAGAAUGUCAAGAAUGCUGUCAAGAGUUGUGUGAAGACUGUGGCUAGGAAGACACUGAGCACCGAUACCAAUGGCAAUCUCCACAACGCACGCUUCUGCGAGAAGGACCUUCUGCUCACAAUCGACCGUGAGGCAGUGUUUGCGUACGCAGACGAUCCUUGUAGCGCCAAUUAUCCACUCAUGCAGAAGAUGCGUGCAGUUCUUGUGGAGCAUGCCUUGGCAAAUGGUGAGGCUGAGCGCGACGUGGAGACAUCUGUGUUUGCUAAGCUUGCCACGUUCGAGCAGGAGCUUCGGGCAGUGCUGCCAAAGGAGGUUGAGGCUGCCAGGAGCGCCGUGGAGAAUGGCACUGCCGCACAGCAAAACCGUAUUGCCGAAUGCCGGUCGUACCCGCUCUACCGAUUCGUGCGCAAGGAGCUUGGAACGGAGUACUUGACUGGAGAGAAGACAAGGUCUCCUGGCGAAGAGGUGGACAAGGUGUUCAUUGCCAUGAAUCAGGGCAAGCACAUCGAUGCACUGCUUGAGUGCCUCAAGGAGUGGAACGGCGAGCCCCUCCCUAUCUGCUAAAUAGAGGAUCGAGAAAGUGAAGAGUAGUGUGCUUCAGAUUUCUGAAGGCUCUUAUGAUAAUACUGUUUUUUCAUUAUAUAUUCUAAAAGUUGAUGUUUACAAUGUUCUUCUAGAGCUGCCAAUGUAUUGCCAAAGAUUGCAAUUGCAUGACUUGGUAGUGUUGGGUAGCCAGUAGAACUUUUAUGAUGUACGUAAGUUAAAAGGGCAGCGUGUGUGUUAACUUUUCAUGAUAAAUUUACUGCCUCCAUUUUUUGGGAUCAACUGGUCCUCGUGACGAUAGUCCAAGAACCAACGAUUGGAAUUUCUUAUGGUGUGUGUACGGCGAUUCAGAAAGUAAAACUCAUGCCUAGGUGGUCACCGGUCAGUAAUAAGUUCUUUGAAUUCUCUGAACGGGAUGAGGGCUUCUCUGAAUUCCCAAUCUCCCAUCUAGGUUUUGUUGUUUCAGUAUUCUACUUACUAAUUUUCAGUCUGGAUUUCUAUGGAGGGACACAACGAUGUUUAACUUGGCGUUCUUCAACUAUUGUACCACCGCAUACCUAUGAAUCCAUUUUUUGAUUAUUAAUUCACUAAUGAUCACAGCCCAUAACACAGGGUACAUACACAUGAAGUUUCUCUGUGCUUCUGAACAUUGCACUAAUUUUCAGUUCUAGUCAUACGUAGGCAUGAAAUAUAUAUGAAGAUUGUAAGGUUGCUCACGCGGCAAAAUUGACAAAUUUAACCUAUUGACGAAAUCAAAUCACAGAAUGAACUGCUCGUGAAACUAUUUCACGUGGUUGACCUUUUUGUGUGACGCCCGACACAAAGGCGCCACACUACACUGUGCAACGCCUCAUAGAUAGUCGCUACACGCCUGGCCAGCGUCGCACCGGUGUCAUCCGAAAAUUACUAAGUCAGUGUGCAGCGCCUGAGAGCUAGGCGCCACACUAUACAGUGUAGCACCUAGCUUCUAGGCGUUGCACUAGUGGUUGCUUCAUUUUAUAGUGCAACCACUAGUGCAGCGCCUGAGAGCUAGGCGCCACACUAUAUAGUGCAGCGCCUAACUCUUAGGCUCUGCACAAUGACUUAGCAAUUUUUAGGCAGUCUGGGGUGCAACGCUGGCCAGGUGUGUAGCGCCUAUCUGUGAGCCGUUGCACAGUGUAAUGUGGCGCCUUCGCGUCGGGCGUCACACAAAAAGGUCAGCCGCGUGAAAUAGUAUCACGGGCAGUUCAUUUUGUGAUUUGAUUUCGUUCACAGGUCAAAUUUGUCAAAUUUGACUGCUCAUGCAUGUGGCACGUGCUUGUAUUCUACUCCCUUUGGUGUUCUUCAAUCUACACGCAUCAAUAGCUCCACGCAUACAUUGACCAUACACGAGAUGUGUAUGUAUGUCCCUCUGCACCGGCCACCGUACCCUGCCAACUAACACGUCUGUGUUGCAUGAAAUGAAGAUGUCAACUAGCAGUGUCCUAAUCUCGAACUCAGUAUGAGAAACAGAAAGCAGUCUGAUGUCUACUACACAAUCUUUUUUUUUAGACAUUGUUGGUCCUCCAAGUGCAGAGGUUUGUAGGACGGUAGCAAAUUUCCCUCAAGUGGAUGACCUAAGGUUUAUCAAUUCGUGGGAGGCGUAGGAUGAAGAUGGCCUCUCUCAAACAACCCUGCAACCAAAUAACAAAGAGUUCCCCAACACACCCAAUACAAUGGUAAAUUGUAUAGGUGCACUAGUUCGGCGAAGAGAUGGUGAUACAAGUGCAAUAUGGAUAGUAGAUAUAGGUUUUUGUAAUCUGAAAAUAUAAAAACAGCAAGGUAAAAAUAAUAAAAGUGAGCACAAAUAACGUUAUUGCAAUGCGUUGAAACAAGGCCUAGGGUUCAUACUUUCACUAGUGCAAAUUCUCUCAACAAUAAUAACAUAAUUGGAUCAUAUAACUGUCCCUCAACAUGCAACAAAGAGUCACUCCAAAGUCACUAACAGCGGAGAACAAACGAAGAGAUUAUUGUAGGGUACGAAACCACCUCAAAGUUAUUCUUUCGGAUCGAUCUAUUCAAGAGUUCGUACUAGAAUAACACCUUAAGACACAAAUCAACCAAAACCCUAAUGUCACCUAGAUACUCCAAUGUCACCUCAAGUAUCCGUGGGCAUGAUUAUACGAUAUGCAUCACACAAUCUCAGAUUCAUCUAUUCAACCAACACAAAGAAUUUCAAAGAGUGCCCCAAAGUUUCUACCGGAGAGUCAAGACAAAAACGUGUGCCAACGUCUAUGCAUAAGUUCACGAGGUCACGGAACUCGCAAGUUGAUCACCAAAACAUACAUCAAGUGGAUCACGUGAUAUCCCAUUGUCACCAUAGAUAAGCACAUGCAAGACAUACAUCAAGUGUUCUCAAAUCCUUAAAGACUCAAUCCGAUAAGAUAACUUCAAAGGGAAAACUCAAUCCAUUACAAGAGAGGAGAGGGGGAUAAACAUCAUAAGAUCCAACUAUAAUAGCAAAGCUCGCGGUACAUCAAGAUCGUGCCGAAUCAAGAACACGAGAGAGAGAUAAAAACAUAGCUACUGGUACAUACCCUCAGCCCCAAGGGUGAACUACUCCCUCCUCAUCAUGGAGAGCACCGGGAUGAUGAAGAUGGCCACCGGUGAGGGAUCCCCCCCGGCAGGGUGCCGGAAUGGGUCUAGAUUGGUUUUCGGUGGCUACAGAGGCUUGCGGCGGCGGAACUCCCGAUCUAGGUUAUGUUUUGGAUGUUUGGGUAUAUAUAAGAGUUUUUGGCGUCGGGAACAAGUCAGGGGGGUCUCCGAGGCGGCCACGAGGUAGGGAGGCGUGCCCAGGGGGUAGGGCGCGCCCCCACCCUCGUGGGUGCCUCGGGACUCUUCUGGCCCAUCUUCGAUGCUCCAUGGGCUUCUUCUGGUCCAAAAACAAUCUCCGUCACAUUUCAGGUCAAUUGGACUCCGUUUGGUUUUCCUUUUCUGCAAUACUCGAAAACAAGGAAAAAAACAGAAACUGACACUUGGCUCUAGGUUAACAGGUUAGUCCCAAAAAUAUAUAAAAUAGCAUAUAAAUGCAUAUAAAACAUCCUAGAUGGAUAAUAUAAUAGCAUGGAACAAUCAAAAAUUAUAGAUACGUUGGAGACGUAUCACAGUCAAGUAGUCAUCUUCAAACCGUGUUUUUUUUCUUUGUAUUUCCUUAUUCAAUCCCGAAAAGAAAUUGUAUUUCCUUAAAAGUCGGUGUUUUGUAAUCUUCCUAUAAAGCUGCUAGUUUGUUGCCAAAAAAUACAAUUGCAUGCUUUGGUAGUGGUAGGUAGCCAGUAGAACUUCUAACAUGUAAGUUAAAGGGUACAAUGAUAUACUGCAUUCCUUCCGGCCAACCGAUCUACCUUCCCGAUGAAGUAUCUCGGAUUGCCACUGUCGGUCAAGAGGCUAAAUAGGAUCCACUUCCAGUACCUGGAGGACAAGAUUGUGGCCAAGCUUACUCCAUGGCUGGGCGUGCUCAUGGCACCUCCGGGAAGGGCGGUGCUGGUCAAGUCUGUCAUCACGGCUAUCGCUAUAUACUAUAUGACAACGUUAAACCUACCGAUUGAGGUCUUGGAAGAGAUUGAUUCUCUUCGCCGAGCCUUUCUUUGGGCUGGCUGUGACAAGGUCACUGGUGGCAAAUGCAAGAUCAACUGGAUGCAGGUCUGCAAGUCCAAGGUUCAUGGGGGGCUGGGCAUCUUAAUUCUAAAGAAGUUUGCGUCUGCGCUUCGCAUCUGGUGGCUUUCGGCAGAAUGGUUGGAUCCGCCGAAGCCGUGGGUUCGCUUGGGCAAUCCUUGCGACGAGAAUGAUAAAAACAUUUUUGCGGCUGCCACCAAGGUGCUUCUCGGCAAUGGUCUUCGGGCCUCUUUCUGGGAGUCCGCUUGGCUCGAUGGUUUGAGGCCCACAGACAUCGCGCAGAAGAUUUUUGAUCUAUCAAAAAGAAGGGGCUGUUCGGUUCAAAAGGCAUUGCAGAAUAAUUUCUGGGCCUACCAAAUUAACACGGACGAGAUCACCUCCAGUAGACAUCUGACCAAGUUCACCAACCUUUGGGAGAAGAUUUCUACGGUGCACCUAAACCCCGAGAUGGCUGAUUCUAUUUCCUAGAAACUCACUAACGAUGGCAUUUACUCUGCAUCCUCGGCCUACAAGGCCCAGUUCCUGGGUUUGGUUGACUCCAACAUGUAACAAUUGGUGUGGAAGAUCUGGGCUCCCCCCAAAUGCAAAUUCUUUGCUUGGCUAGUUAUCAAUAAAAGGAUCUAGACGGUCGACAGGCUUCAACGCCGGGGUUGGCCUAACUGCAACCGUUGCCCCCUAUGCAAACAAGAAUCCGCGGCCCACCUACUGUUCCAGUGCCGCUACACGGUUCGAGUUUGGGGAAUGAUCAAGUCUUGGCUUAGCUUGGUGGAUGUGCACCCUUCUACUUGGAUGGCCAUCCAUUCGGUAAAGGCCUGGUGGAACCUUAUUGAUUCCAAUAUGUCGCAAUCUAGACGGCCGAUGAUGUCCCUCAUUAUGCCUAUCUCGUGGGAAAUUUGGAACGAGAGAAACGCACGUGUGUUCCGUAACACCGCGGUGCCGGUAGGGGUUCUUGUUGCUAGAAUCAAAGAUGUAUCCAAGCUAUGGUGUCUUGCAGGGGCAAGGUAUUUGAGUAAUAUAGUGCCACAAGAGUAAUGUGUUGUAAUUCGGCUUUUUGGCCAAAACCUCUAAACCUUCUUCUUAAUCCAUGAAAGUGGCAAAUCUUUUGCCCAGUUUCAAAAAAGGAUACAAUGCCCGAUAAAUAUUCAUGAUAAAUAUACUUGUCCCUUUUUCUAGAUCAAUGGUCUGGUGGUUCUUGAGGAUACUUCAAACAGUGCAAAGAAUCUAUUGUGUUUACAUGACCGCAAAGAAUCUAUUGUUGUUAUGCCAUAAAGUCCAUGGACAUGAUAAACCAACAUAGACAGGGAUCAGGAAGUUAAAAUGGAUGGAGUUCUGGAGCGGGAAAAUUGUAUAAGGACCCAGUGGUGAUGGAAACUGAUAGCACGACAGUGGGGACGGAGCUCCAGGAAGGCUUAACGAACCGAUCCAACUGUUUCUCCCUGUUGGUUGACAUAAAAACGAAGCUUCUAACUUCCCAUGUGAGAUCAACAUCGUAGGGAGGAAUUGUAAUAGUCUGGCUCACGAACUGUCAGCUAAAGCAAGGAGGAAUGGUAAUCUGACGCUGAUAGGCAAGGUUCCGGAUACUCUUCAGAAAGUCUAUUUGCUCGAUUGUAACCCAACCUCUCGGUAGACUACUAAUUAGUUCUAAAAAGAAGUUAAAAUGGUUCCUACGUAGUAAUAUAGUCACUGGUCGUUGUUAUCUCCAUAGUGGCUAGUUCCGCUUUCGUCGACAAAAUGUGAUGGCUUCUCUGAAUUCUCAGUCUUGUACCCACUUGUUCCUAUUUAAGUGUUCUAUUUACCAGCUUCAGUCUGAAAUGUAAGAUGAGCACAUAAUAUGAUGUUCUCCUAACUUGGUGCUAUGAACAUAUUUAAUUUGGAUAGAAGAUUUUCAAUUCUUUGUUAGGGGCCGAACACAAAUAGUUUCUUUCGUCAAUGAAAAUGUUCACUAAACCAAAUAUCAGGUUCACAUGUUAUUUAAAGGGCACUAAAAAAUAAGCAGACAAUAUGAAUUGCCAUACAUGCCUCGCUAAAACCCUGCCCUCAUGUGGCAAAGAGCCCUCUCAUCUAUGAUUAAGAUUUGAGGAGAAAUUGAGGGAGUAAUAUUUUUGGGUUGUUAGGAUUCUUAAGCACACUCAACACAUGUAGUUGUUCGUUCAAGGGAAAAAAUGCAGUUGUUCGUGAAAUCUGAAUUUUGACCAAUGUUAGUAAGUCAAUGGUCAACAACUUGAACAAUGAUGAUUUGGUGGUGGAGUUGUUGGCAACUAUAGGUCAAGUCAAAUAUUAACAUCCUCGCAGAACAAGUCUAGCGUCAACAAAGAUGAGGUCAAAAUUAGGCAAUUGCCAGUCUUACGUCCUUAGCACCCAUGGUGCGAGAAUGUUUCAGGAAGAAAAUUGUGGAUAUUCCCUGAUUAGCAUGGGCGUUGAUGUUCAACUUAAUUUAAGCCACCAACCAAAUGGUUUCAAAAAAUCUAGUUUAUAACUGAAGAUCACUAAAAACAUCUAGCUAUAAUAAUUUUGAGGAAUUUGCAUGUUUUUCGCUUCGGCAAACAGCCAGUUUAACUAACUUCACUAAAACCGCGAUAUUACAGAGUGAACUUUAUUCAGCCUGGACUUGCACGGAUGUAAAUUACAUAUGAAUUAAUCUAAAGUUCUUCACUCGUUCAGAGAAACUGCUUCCACAACUCGAUUGUCCACGUGCAUUUUCACCUCCAGAGAUUCACAUGUAGUGUGAUCAUAUUGGGUAUACUGAUACAAGCCGGGGUUCUUUUCCUUCGUCGGAUCAGGUCCUCGACGAUCUCUUUCUAUAGACUCAAGCUCAAACAAGAAUGUGCACAUGUCUGCACGCAUUGGACCGCCCUGUGUUUGUAAGAGCUGACCGAUUGGCUACGGAAAAGACGCUCCCUGACUUCUCAUGACCAAACCACUUGGAGCGACAGCUGCACGUCGGCCCUCGCCGGUAAGGUCCGUAAGGGUUGGUUUCUUCUUUAGAGUGAGCUUGUGCUGCAACCCGAUCCCCCCUGCUUUCCUCGCCCUUUGUUGCACCCCCCGCCGGCUUCCUGUCAUUCAACUCGCUUCCUUAGCUCUAGCCCUAGCUUCCCUCCCAGCUUCGUUCCCUGGCUUGGUCUAUGGAUGGUUCCGAGUUCGAAGAUGCUAUGUUGGCCAAGUAUGGGUGCGGUAUGGUUGAGGCUGUCACCGGACGCUGCCGGCAUGCUGGCGUGCUCGCUACAGUCCUCACCGACGGUGUGCUGCUCUCUCCUAAGGCUUUCGCUUCGCUCUUGGUCAGUUGGUUUGGGGGAUGGGCCAACGGCUAUUGCGUUCAAACGCGCCGGCGUGGCACCUUCCUCUUCUAGGUCGCACAUGAGUACAUUGCCAAGGAGAUCGUGCUCCACGAACCCUGGAGCUCUGGCUUCCUUUCUGUUAGUAUGUCGCUUUUCGCCCUGGAGCCUUCUGCGUGUCGUGAGGUCUCGUCUAGCCGCCUUGGCGCGCGCGGCCGGAUCUGGCAGGCUAACGCUCUCUUGCCUUCUGUCCUUGGGCCGCGCCCCUCGUGCUCGUCUCAUCUGCGCCAGGUUGGCAGUCAAUCGAUAGCGCAUUUCCCGCAUGGCCAGAUUUCUGCGGAUCCCGUCAUCGCUUUGCACGGGUCGUGCCCUCGCGCAUGCAGCUGCGCGCCUACAUGCAAUCAAUUGCAUGCUAGCCCUUUCCCCCAUAAUCCUGGCCUUUUGCUGGCACCGCCUCCUGGUGACCAACCCGCUGUUGUUCAACGCUCGGAUUCCUCCGUAGCUGUUGGCAACGCUUCGGCUGCCACCCCCGGCUCCCCUUCCUCUCCUCUGACCGCGCCUGGCGUCCCCAGCUAUAGAGAGGUGCUGCUGUCUAAUGCAGAUUCACCGUAUCCACCUCCUGCAAGCUUGGGUUCUGCACCAAAUCGCCCUUUUCGAUUUGGAAGGCCUAAAGACCUGUCCCAGCGCUGCUUCCGAUGCCUCGCCUACAGCCACCGCCGCCGCGAUUGCCGGGAUCCGGCUGUUUGCUGGACGUGCCGCUUAGUUGGGCAUUUUAGCUAUCAGUGCCUUCUCUGUUUCUUUCACUCUCCUUCCAGCCGCUCCGCCCCGGCCUUAAGUACCAGCCCAAACCCAUCCGCUCACCCCACUCUCGCCCUCGACUAGCCUUCUCCCUCCCGCGCCCUCGCUCCUCCUCAUAGCUCUUCUAGCCCACCCUCCCCUCUCAUGGAGCCUGUUGUGCAUGGCCGCCCCUCCUCCCUGGAUGUGCACUACCCCAUGGUGCCGGACCAAAACUCCCUCGUUUGCCUAGUCAACAUCACCCCCCCGAAAGCUGCCUUCUUGCCUUGGCUCAAAUUCGUUUUCCGUCACCACCUUGGCAUCACGGCGGUGCGCUUCGCUGAUGCCACUGUGGGGACUGCCUUCGUGAUCUUCCAGCGGGAGUCCGAGUAGGUUGCGGCCCUGCGCGCCAGCCCUCUCGCUCUGGCGGAUCGCACCGUUUGGAUCCUGCCUCACAAUGCCGACGACAACGCCUUCUCCUUUGCCUACCGCCAUGUUGUGAGCUUGUCUCUCGAGAAGAUGCCUUUGGAGCUGUGGAACCGGCGUGGGGUGGCAGCGAGUGUUGCUGGAUUCGCCAGCCUGUUCCGCCUCGUGCAUGCUUGCCUCCAUGGCAGCGAGUUCUCAAGCAUCUUCGUCCUGGUUAAGGUGGAAGCUCUCCACCACAUACCUCACCACCUCACCUUCCACCGCGUCGACGGCAAUGGCACCUACGCCGACGUGAUCAUCAAUGAGAUCUGGGACAUCGCCCGAUCGCUCGGCGCACCCACUGCACCACCUUGCCGUGGUGAGGAGGGGGGUGUGGGCGAGCCACGGCCGGGCGCCUUGCCGCGCUUCGUCGGGAGCGGGGGCGGGAGCAACGCGCGCUCGGCCGCACCGCCGCGCUGUGGUCAUCCCCUCGCUCAUUCUUCCGCACCUUACACGGCGGAGGAAGGAAUGGCAGACCGGGCCUUCCAUGCUUUUCUGCACCCGCAGAUGGCCAAGGUGGACGACUGCCUCGCCAUGCUCAGGCUCUCCGCUAAACCUAAGCUCAUCAAAGGCGCCACCUUCUCCUUUCCAUCGGCGGACCAGAUUCUGCAUGAGGACGAGCUACGCCUCUGCCUCUACUCCUCGUUGUUGGCGGCUGACGUGCGCACUCCGCGUGUCACGGUCUCGUUCGACAUUGACUCGCUAUGCUUCUCCUUCACGCUGGAGCUCACCAAUUGCCGGGCGAUCACUGGGCUCAUCUCGGUGCGGCCGGUGACCGUGGGCGAUGUUUUUUUCCUUGCUUCAACUAUCUCACAGAGGAGCUUGCGCGGGAAAGCUGCCGAUCCCUGCUUUUCAAAUUCUGGCCCAAGGAGGUGGGUGGUGGGCUCUGUCCGCGCACUCUGCCCUUGCUCCCCUCUGUUGAGGCCCGCAACCCGCCCAAGCCCAAUGUGCCUGCCAACAUUCUUCCAAUGGCUGGCCCGCUGCUUUCCUCCAUGGACCCAAACACCCUCCCUCCUGCGGCCCAGUUCCCAGUCCAGGCACACCUUCAAGCUCAUCAGAUCCUUACUACCCGGCCCAUCUGCACCAGGCCUCUCCACUAUAUUCCUAGGGCUGAGCCAGGGAUCCUCCCCACUAACCAGCCUUCUCCAGUGAUUGCCACUGACCUCAUCCAUGGCGCUUGUGCGGCGCUCCCCCCGCAUGUGGCCACCGUCUUCUGCAGUUGUCGCGAUCUGCCGCGCGAGCCUGCAGCAAAUGACUUCUUCGCCUCUAAGGCCGUGCUGCAGCUCCUUCCUCCCGCCCCUGGUUCUGCUGCUGUCACACCAGGCGCUCCGGCCAUGCUGGAUCUUAACUUGGAUCUGCGGGGGUCGGACCUGCCUCUGGUGGAGAACGACGUGAUCGCCCCCAGUCUGGUGGCCGCUCCUGUGGGGUGGCACCGCCUGCUGCCUCGUCCCCGCGGUGCAGCCCGCGCAUUCAGCAGGCAUACGACGGGGUUCAGGUGAGCCCGGUGGAGUGUGCCGCCAAGCGCAAGGCGAUGGAGUCUGGCUCCAGCUCCAGCAGCGGCCCCUCCCGGCGCCCGGGCUCCUCCAACCGACGCAAGAAGGCCAGGGCCAAGGCGCCGGCUGUGGCCGGCCUCCUGGAGCUUCCUCUACUUGCGACCCUGACUCCACUCACCAGGAGCAAGCUCAAGCUGAUCGCCCAAGGCUGUGACCUCAACGCCUCAGCCAUCCUCGACCAAGCCAGGACCCGCGCGUAAUCUGCUGCUUUGGGCGAGGCGCCUGCCUCCCCUUCUGUCAGCGCUUCCUCUGCUUCCUCUGUGCGCAUCCUCGACACCCCAAAUGCAUAAUUCCUCUGCUGUCAGUCGGUGGUUGACGCUUGAGACCGCCGUUUUGCUGUCAUCUAUGUUUGUUAGUGUUUCAUCUUAUCUAGUCCAGGAUUUGCAAUCGAGUCGUAGUCGUGUGCCUGCUGUCUUUGUAGUGGUUGUGGCUAUCUGCUUCAGUCUGUACUGCUCUAAUAUGUAUCGAGUUUGUUUCCUUUCCAACAAGAGAUAUCAUGUUUGCUUUCUGCCCCAUGUUUCUUCUAGCUUUCUUAUGCUUUGCUUGCUCUUUCUCUCAGGUUGCUUGCACAAUGUUUCUCUAUGAAGAUACUAAGCUGGAAUGUCCGCGGCCUCGGUGACGACGAUAAGUGUUCGCUCGUCCGUGAUGCCAUAACUUCUUGUUGUCCUAGUGUCGUGUGUUUGCAGGAAACGAAGCUGGCCUCCCUCACUCCGUUCAAGUUGAGAUCGUUCCUACCCAUGAAUUUCACAGAUCACGCUGUUACUCUGUCUGAAGGCACAUAUGGGGGGAUCCUGGUGGCGUGGGACUCCUCAAGUGUUUCUGGGCAAGUUGUUGCUGAGCACAGAUACCACGUUACGGUCAAGUUGGGUUCUACUGAAACUAACUGCCAGUUCUUGCUCACUGCUGUGUAUGCACCCUGCCUGAGCACCGAGCGGUCUACGUUUUUUGAGGCAGUUUCUGAAGUGGCAGCCGAUUCCGACACACCAUGGGCCGUUUUGGGAGACUUCAACAUGUACAGAUUCUCACACGAGAAAUCAAGGGGCCGGAUUUGUUGGACUACUAUGGAACAUUUCAAUUCUUGGAUCAGAGAGCAUGGCUUGGACGACAUCCCAAUUGAGAACAAGUUGUUUACCUGGUCCAACAAGCGAAGCUCACCAACUUUGGUUCGUCUAGAUCGUGCUCUUGUUAAUGCUGCCUAGGGUCUAAACUUUAUGCAGACUGCAGCCUCUUGCCCGCCCUCUAUUACCUCGGAUCAUGCUCCGAUCCUGCUUCAUUUCUCUGCUAACACUCCCAAGAGCAAGCUCUUUCGCAUGGAAAACCACUAGUUGGAAAUGGAAGAGUCAAGAGAGCUCAUUAUCAGUUGCUGGAGCAGAGGGCUUAGACACAUCUCCUCCACCCUCAUCAACUUUAAGAUGAGGCGGCUGCGGGCUGCCCUACGACAAUGGAAUCGACGCAAAACUUGUCUUCGUGUGCUGAUUGAAAACAACAAACAUGUUGUUUGCUUCCUCAAUGUUGUGGAGGAGAGGAGGCAAUUGUCUUGUUUGGAAACUGUUUUCAGGGAAGUCGCUUCAGCCAAGGCAGAGUAGAUGAUAUUAUGGCAAACCGCGAUUUAGCGUCGCAGGGCCAAAGUGAGGUGGUGUGUAUCCAGGGAUGAAAAUUGCAAGUUCUUCCGCGCAGCGGCCAACUGCCAAUCCCGUCAUAAUAAGGUUAAAGUCCUAAUCCACAAUGCGGUCGAGCACUACCAGAACAACCAGAAACUUGGCAUUGCAACUGAGUAUUUUUCUGCGGUUUUGGGACAGCCGGUUGUUUCUUUGCCAACAGUACAGCUUAGCUCCUUGUACACGCCUAUGGAUCUUUCUGGGCUUGCAGUUCCUUUCUCCCGGGCUGAGAUUGUUGAGGCUAUCAACAAAGCUCCAAAUAAUAGGAGCCCAGGACCAGACGGAUUUACCAAUGAGUUCUACAAGGUUUUCAAGCAUCUCCUUAAGGAUGACCUAAUCAGAUUCUUCGAAGACCUACACAGCAACAAGGUCAACCUUGAUGGUAUCAAUACUGCCUACAUCACUUUGCUGCCCAAAAAGGAUACGCCCUUGGAAAUAAAGGACUACAGACCCAUCUCUCUGGUUCAUAGCAUGCCCAAGCUAGCUUCCAAGAUCCUGCAGCACUCUGACAUUCUUUGCUACCAGUGGUUCACUCUGCAGUAUCGCCAGAUAGCUAUACCUCUUGGGGCUUCCAGCAGAGAUACUGCCAUGUGGCGUGGUUUCAAGGAUCAUAUCCCCAUGGUCAUAAACUCCUCACGCUGGACUCUGGGCUCGGGCAAGCUCAUUUCCUUCUGGCAUGAUCAUUGGGUCGAAGCAGGCAGGCUCUUCUUGCUGCUCCCUGUUCUGUACUCCUUUGCCAGGAACCAUUGCUACUCGGUUAGCUUGCAGUUCUCAGACGGUGCUUGGUCAGUACAACUCCACCCCAAUCUCUCCCACUCUGCUGAGCGCGAGCUACUGCUGCUGCAAAAUCUUAUUGCUUCUCUAGCUCCCGACGGUUCAUGCGAAGACAGGCGUACUCCCUCAGUUUUUUAUAAGCAAAACAGCACGGCCUACUUCUACCGUCUGCUGACCUUCCGUGGUGUUUCUUGUACCUUCCAUGAUUGGGUCUGGGAUACGUCGAUUCCCUUGAAGCACAAAACCUUCCUCUGGUUAGCUUUUUGGGGCCGGCUAAACACCAGAGACAACAUGAUCAAGAAGCAUUGGACGACCGUUGCUGCAUGCUCCGGUUGUGAUCUAUGCCCAGCAGUGGAAUCGGUUCAUCAUAUAAUGUUGCACUGCAGGGCGGCAUCUACACUAUGGCAUCACAUGCGCUUGGCAUCGUUGAAUGACAGGUCGCCAGAUAUACUAUCCUUCGUCCAACAAGCUACUGCUCAUCUACAGUUCAAGCGCAAAUGGAACAUGGCUUUUGCUGCACGUGCCAUCACUCUCUGGCAUGCACGAAACGAUCGUGUUUUCAACUCACGUUCAUGGGCAGACUCUUACGUAAGAUAUUAUGCUGUAGAUUUGAUCUGCCUUUGAUGCUGCAGGACCAAGAAGCAACAAGAUAAAGAGGACCUCACGUUUUGGCGCAAUCUUGUAGCAACAUAGUCACAUAGUUUCUUCCUAUUGUUUCUCUCCUACCUGCCUCAACCCCUCUCUUUUAUCGGUUCUUGUUGGGUUUGCACUAAAGUGCACCCCACAAGCUUCAUGUAACCGUUCGUUGUUCCUCAGGCUACGGCCUGUUUUGAAAUAUAAAGGAGGCUGGAGCCCCUUUCUUUUUCAAAAAAAAACCCUCAGUGGUUUCAACUUUCAAGGAAGCAAUUUCCGUCCCAUGCGUGAUCACGGUGUGCACGCGGUGACCGACCAUGACCAGGCCGGACACAGGACCAGUGUACACCGGCCGGGUUCCCCUCAGUGGAACAGCCGGAAUCGAGGCUCAGGAGAAAAACCAAACGCCGCUUGCCGUGGAACUCGCGAAUCCGUGAGCACAAAUCACUGAUUAGAACGGCACAUGCUGCAGUUGGAGCCUCUCCAUAGUUGAACUCUUUGCCGUGUACGUAUAUAAGAUUCCAGAAUAUCUGGUCAACACAAGUCAAGUCUGCAGUGAGGAGCGAAACUACACACCGGAGGCCGGAAGUAUGCAUCAGUAUGGCUUUACAUUCAGACCGGAAUAUCCUUCGUCAUUUACUCAUUUGGAGAUGGAAAUUGCACGGACGACCAAGACGGGAACAAAAGCGGGUUCCAGAUCUUGAGACGAAGCUUCAAUAGAUCAAGUGGAGCCGAAAGUGCUAUUCUGAGCCCGAGCUCAGAUGCACCUGUUAUCCUGACCAUUCUUCAGCGCCAAGAUUCGCUCCAGUGUGUGUAUUUCACAGUGUAUUCUCAGCAGUAUUGGAUGCUUUUCCAGAGGAUAGGGCCCACCCACCUACCGCAUUUAUUUUAACGGCCGCCCCCCUCCCGCUACUCAUGCUCAGACUUAUGAAGUUUUAGUUGCAUUUACCACAAAACGAAUGUCGAACAGAUGCCUCCAUCUUAUUUUCCAUUUUCCAUACACGCGAGCAUCUUUACCGACAAGCAUCCAUGAAAAUGCUAUCCACCCAUGCUUUGUCAGCUCACCAUCAGGGCCAAAUUGAUGUAUGAAAUCAUCCCCACCCAGGACAAUGAGGUACAUGACCAGGUGUUUGAACCAUUUCCUGCGUGUAGAUUCCCAAUUAGGUCUGGACACAUGUACUAAAUGGCAUAGACAAAUCUGGCAAGUAGUCAUCAGAAAACAACUACCCACCUGUCACGAUCACUCGGUGUGCUGUGCACCAUCUUGUCGUAGAACCGCACCACGUCCUGAGCAGUGGGUAUAUCAUGCUUAAGUCCGAAUUUCCCAGGGAACUUCUCACCCAUCUCACCCUUAACCUCAAUCCUUAGUAUUCCCUCUGGAAACCUCAGAUUUCUUGACAGUCUCUCUGAUACCGGCACUGAAAUUUUCAGAAACAUUGCAUAUAAGCAUGCAAAUAGAUUCCCAAUCUCAACCAGACAAGCUAAUGUAUUAAGCUCCAAACUUAUCAUUGGAAACAACGUCUGGUCACCUGUUGCUCCGUGGUGCCGAGCAGCUGCUGAACCAUCCGUUCCUGUCACAUGUGAACAUAUUAUUACACUACUUGAAAAUAGAACCAAUGGUAUUCGCUGUAUACUUCAGGUAAAUCUCAGAACCCUGUGUUUUACCUUGGUUAGAAUUUUGUACCCGAUGUGGCAACUGGGUCGAGCUUCCCCCAACUUCCGUCACUGUCACUUUUUUUGUGAAGUAUUAUAUAAUUGAAAACGAAAUAAGGUGCAUGAAAAAAUUACUUUUCUCAUUUUUCAUGUGCAUGAGAGCUCACCAGUUCUCCCUGCAAACGUAUCCCCAGGGAUACUAUCAUGCCUAUGGAGUCUGCCAACAGUGACAGGUUCAUCAUCAGGACCUAUGUCCACGCCAGCUACAAGACACACCAACAGAUCAACUCAGAUUAACCGAUCCAAUGUUAUCAAUAAUUCAACGCCCGUGUAAACAUGCCCACUCACCAGCAUGGCCGUGUACUGGACCAAUAGGAUCCACUACAUUAGCUUCAGUUAUGCCAUCACUAACUGGACCAGCAGCAUGCGCCCGUACCACGCCACCACUGACAGUGUUGCCAACAACUGUAGAUUUUUCAUAUAGGUAAUCUUCAUCUCAUAUUUUUCAACACAUAAAAAAUGAAGUGCACAUUAUCGCAAAAUUGACAUUUUACCUGUACCCUGUGUAGCUGGUUCCCCAUUGUCCUCACCACUAGCAUCGUUCCCGUCGUCAGAACUGCUAUCAUCAGUUUCAGAGCUGUCCGUUGGACAAAUUGUCUGAACAACAUUCGAGAACUUAACUCUUCUUCGGUGCUUACUCUCUGCCUUUCUUGAUUUCCUUGUCUUACGUUUCUUCUGGGGGGCAGCCCUCCUCCCUGCAGAAUCAAACACAAUUUUCGCAAACAUAUGUUAGAUAGAGAAGUAUCAAUUUUUCUCCGUUUCACUUGUCUGAUUUAAUUAGAUUUUACCUCUUUUUUGUCGAUGCAUGGAUACGCCACUCCGACAGUAGUAAUAAUCAUCUAAGCUGGUCUGAACCACUACAUCUACAGGAAGAAAUAUUUGUCAGGUUCUCAUCAACACGUCUUGCUUGCAGCGCGUACUUAUGAAUCGUUUUUUUCGAUCACAUACCUGAACCUGAUGAUCGCCCUGCCAUCGCCCUUGUCCCCAUUGAACCAGCAAAACCCACACGAGAAGAGACGAUCUUGAUUUGCUCGUCAGUAGCUGCAGCAGAAACAUGCAAGGAUGAGUACCCCUAUACAGUUCCAAUCAUUUUCUCAUGGACCGUCUAAUUUUUCACAUGUUAUGUUUCUACUCACCGUUGCGAUCAUAAAGCUUCUCUUAUAUUUCUGCUACAUGAGUAUCAUUAGCCACUUGGUCCCUUGCGUCCUGAUCAAUCUCCUCCUGAAUCUUCUUAGCAACUUCCUCAUCUUUCGCAUGGCGCUCUUUUCCUUUCCUUCCUUCAUCCUCCAGAAUCUUCCUUGCCACUUCUGCGUCAUGCUUUUCUUGUUCCCUUAGCCUUUUGUCAGUGUCCACCUUAUUUACGUGCUCAUGUCCAGACCACAUUUCAAAAUCAGACUCGUGAUGGCUAUCAAUGUCAACUCCAUACGAAACUCCUCCUGGAGCAACCAAUGAUAAGUGCUGGUUGGCAUCAACGGUUGUUUCCUCUAGCACGUCUGCAGUCAUCAUGGGUCGCUUAGUCAACAUACAAAAAUUCAUUCUGCUGAAACAUUUGAAAUCAUGGUCUGAAGCUGCAUUGCACACUCCACGUCGAUGUCGACAACACGAGGCUGUUGAGUGCAAUGCACGUCAAUCUCAUCCUUCACAGUCACUGCCUCAACUUGCAUUGCCGUGAUCUCUUGCAGAACAGUGUCCAUUUCACUAGCAGCAGCUGCAUAGUCCAACAGGCCUAUCUUUUUUGUUUACGUGUCCAAAAUAAAUAAAUUACGUACGUGCUUAUUUUUCAGACAUGACAUGGAAUACCUGAUGUUCGCUCGACAACAUCAGUUCGAGCCCUUUUUUGUCUUGAACCCACAUUUCCUUGAUUCGCUACUCGGGCGUGCCGUGCAGGCCCUACAGUUUUUAUCAAGUUAGGCAUCCUGGUCAAACCAGACAUCAAAACUACAUUUUCACAUCUGCGAAAGCAAUACCAAAAUCAUACCUCCAACAUCUCCCAGACGUAUCCCUUCUUUAGCUCCACCCCCCAACAUAUCUAUGAGUUUUUAUUGGAAAUGUUGUUAGGUAUCAUCUUGCUCAUGGUUACAUACAUAUAAUUGCUACAAUGUAGUCAGCCCGUGAGGCACUAACCUUGUCUUCGUAGGUGACGAGCAGCGUUCCUGGAGCGACGCUCACGAAUUUCCUCAUCAUUCUCAUCACUGUCGGAUGACUCCAUCUCAGAUUCUAUAGCUGCCGCCUUCUUGCCUUUCUCUGCUGCACUUAUCCGAGUAGACCGCCUAAGUGGGGUAGUUGCUGAAGGCGCCAUUGGAGGUGGUGUUGACAUCACAGUAUGUUCAACACCAAGUACUCCACCUGCAUCAGAAAACAACAAUGCCACGAUCAGUCACCAUAAAGAUCGUAAUGGCACACCACAUUCAAGUUCCUGGUUGUUUCUUAAAAAUUUUAAAGCACUUACUGUGUGCGAAAGGUAUUGGUUCCGCCAAUGUUGUGGUCACGACGGUACAUUCGCUAUCCACAGCUACAUCAUCUUCAAAGUUCCUAAUCUCUUCUACAUUAUCCUGCAUGCUUAUAACAAUCAGCAAUAGGCACUAAAAUAACAGGAAGUCUUUCAUAAAUUUCAGGAUGAAAGCUAUCACCAGAGUAAUGCUGCCUGCUACCAAAGGAUGCCACUGCAUCUGAAGAUUAGUAAUGUAUCAAUCAGGCCUUGUCUGCAUCAGAACAACAGCUGUCAGAGUUAGUACUGUAGUUUUCAUUUCUCUGAAGAUUUGCACGCACACUCCUUCCAUUUACAAAAGGUUGUACUUACUCUAUAAGCAGCAGGAUUAGCCUUGAUUAGCUUAAUUAGCUUGGCAACUUGGUUAUGUGUGUAAGCUGCUAUCCUUGGCCCAAAGCUUGGAUACAAGUUAUGAUUCCCGAAGUCUAUCCAGUCCAGAGUGAAACACUGCACAACAAACAAAAUGUGUUAGAAAGGUUGUACUUUUUAGUGUUGGCAACAGCAUAAGGACAUGCACAAUGAUUGAAAGGUGCAUUCCAACAACUCACUUUAAGGAAAAGUGGAUUGCCACACAAGCAUCCAUGCUAGCGAGUACGUCCGCAUGUAGCCUUCUGGCAGCCCUUCUAGCCAUCUCCAACAAAUAGGCUCCCCAGUUGUAUGACCCAAUCUGUGUUGGGUCUUGCACGACAAGCAAAAUUUCUUCAGGAAUGACAUGCACGGACUGCCUUGGACCAAUGAACGUGGCGCACACAACUAUGGUGACAGCAACCAUGAAAGCAACUGUGUCCUCUCUGGUCAUGCAGCAAGGGUUGAUCUUGCUAAUGACAUCUCUGCAGUCUUUCACACUAACAGCCCCCGUGCCCUCUAAGCGUAGAUACCUCCUGAUGUUAUCCAUCAGGUCAGAUCUGUGAGUUGGUGCCCCGAACUCCACUAAUCUACCUCUACCAGUCACCCCAAAGAUCCUAACCGCAUCCUGGACCGUGAUUCUUCACACCUCACCGUCCCAAAAUACAAAUGUCAUGUUUCUUGGGUUGACCCUGGAAAGCAGAGUUGCGUAGAAUUUUCGAUCUACAGUCCGGGCGUACCGGUUAGUGAGCAAGCUAGCUAGCCCAGUGGGAAUGGCGACGCUGUAGAAGACGGGGCCGAUGGUCAGCAGUGGCGGAGUAGCGAACAUGCUCGAGUACGUUGCCCGCCUUCUUAGCUCGACCACCGGCGAGCCGCUCGCUGACACCACCAUCGACAAGCUCCCCCAGCGCUUGUUCAUUUUUCUCUGGCUAGAUCCUCCCGCCUUGUCUGGUUCAUCGAUCGAUCUGCGCCGCUUCCGACUCCCUGGAUCGUCAUCGGUCGCCAUAUAGCUCCUGCGGUCAAACAGACAUUGCCGUAGCAAGCAGCAGAGGUCACAGAUGAGCUCCCAAAGGAAGAAGAACAUAAUAUGGAUGAGAGAGAGGUGCAGAUAUGUCGCCGGCGCAUGCGCUCGCGUUACUCACCUGUGAGCCGCCUUCAAUGCCGCCGGAUAGCGGAUCUGCGCCGCUUUCCCAGCGAUAGCUCGGACCUUGUUCUCCCCCAGGCUGCUGUGAGGGAGAAGGAGUGUGGUGUUGGGGAGUGGAGUGAGCAGUACCGCAGCAGCUAGCCUAAGAGAGGUAAUAGUCUCUUCGGUUUCACCCGAGGCCGCCUGCCACCUGACAACUUUUUACCACCACAGUGGUAAAUACGAAUCUCUCUUUUUUUAUCACCCAAAGUGCUACAGUCUUAGAUAUUUUGGGUUACACUGGCGGGAACUUUCCCGCCCACACCCGCUGGCACGUCGGUCGGUCCACACCGAACACGAGCAUACAACAUUUUCGUUGUACCGUUCACUCCUGCCUGCAAGUGCACGCGUGUAAUCUUUCAAAAACCAGUUCCCGAUUCGUGUACCAGUUUAUCCACAUGGUCCCACUAGUUAGAAUGGAGCAUCCUAAUUGAGUAAUGGGUGCACAGGCAAGCACCAUAUAUCUGUUUUGGGACCAGCCCCGGCACCUGACACGUAUAUACAACUGGAAACAAAGACCCGAUCAGGACGAUCCAUUUUGCCACAAGUGACAAACCCAGAGGAUGUUCCUCUGGGGCCACGCUAUGAGACCACCCUGUCCGUGCGGUUCCUCCAAGCAGCACCGGCAGAACAAACGGGCGGUUGCGGUGGUGUGCGGUCGCUGAAUGCACAUGCAGUGAUUGCAGUCUCCAAAAGGGCCACGAACAGCUAACACCUUUGACCAUGGGCCCCAUCUCGGGUCAGACGCAUGCACAUGCACCAUGCAGUUCCCAAGCUCUCCUCAGGCAAAUUUAAUAUGAUUCAAACACAGCUACCACCAUACAGCAUUGGUUUUCAGUACUUGUGCUCAAUUUGCGACGCUAAUCACCGUCUGACAAAACACACACCAUGGUCUUACAAUAACAAAGCACACAUCCCACUGUACUAUUUUAAACGGCUCCUACUGUACAUACUCCAGAAGCACCCCGUAAACAGAAACACAGGCAAUUUUCCUCUACUCGAAUCCUCAGUGGCUAGCCUAGCGAAGCCGUUGACGCUUCGCUGGUGGGCUCACCACUUCUUCUUCCCCAUCGUCUUCACCCAUCUCAUACUGUGGAGCUGCCGAUCCUUCCCCGUCCUCAUAAUCCUCGGCAUCAACAAUCUGGCCCCAGGCGCCUCCUUCUGGAUCGUGGUCGCCACUCCCUUCGACGCCACCAGCUUCUGGUUCCACUCCAACGUUUCCUCCCACUUCGUGUUCUUCAUCGUCAGAUCCAUCAUCCAAGUAUGGACCUCUACCCAAGGCACAACUCUGCUCAAGAAGAAUCAGAAAUGAGAAAUCAGCAUGAAGCAAUGAGAUCAGCAAGGAGCGUUCACACACACAACACACCACGCACCUGUAUUGAUCCACUGGUCAUAUCCGAUUCCGCAGGCCCAAUUGAGUCGUCAACUACUACCUGGUUCACACUCCCUUCAGAAUCCCUUCCGUUCGAAAGAACCCGCUUACCAAUUGAAGAAGCUCAAGUAACUAUCAACUGGAUGCAAUUAAUCUGAUCAAGAGAUUGGUCUUGCAGUGAAGGCACACACCUCAUGGUUCCUGUGCGUAGCUGCUGGCAGAUUGACACCGGUCAAAAUAGAACCGUAUGUAGAUGUCGAUGUAGCUUCCAUCUUCCCAACAAGGGCAAACAAUGCUGGUGGCGCCGCUGCACUGGACCCGUCCCUCGGCCUCCUCCUUUGUCUAUCUUAUAUACCAGGAGAGGCACCUCUUUCCCGCUUAGGCGGUUCAAAUUUCAAACCCCUUACCUGGGCCAUGCGUGAUGACACUUGGCCUCCAUACCUAUUGAAAUUGACAAGUACAUGUUAUUUAAUACCGAAACGACAUCCCACAACCCAUGACAUAUAUUAAAUAUACAAGAAAACCACAGAGAGACAUUCACGCAUAUUCGGCUACAGCCUGGAGCUUGCCCACUUCAGUACUACACUGGAUCAACUCAUACAGACAGCAUCACAUGGAAAACCAUGAGGUGUGUGCCAGAAACAAGUCUGAACUUAGAUAGACAUAGAUCCAAGAAUUGAACUAAACAUGAACUAAACAGUUACAAGCAAUGCAUCAACACUUUGAUAAAGUAACACCCUAACUCAGAAUGCGCCACGGACCUUUUUUACUCUUCACAUACCUACAGCGAGUCUUAGUUCCAUUGCUUUAUUGCAAUUGUUCCGCCGGUGUCCUUCCACACCACAGUUCUUGCACCUAGCAGGCUUCCUUGGUUGCUUUGGUAAAUCACCACGGUCAGGGCAUGUUGUUCGCUUGUGACCUUGUCUACGACAAAUCGUGCAAAAUCUGGUCCGUUUGCUUAGACCUUCAUAUGGAGCCUUCUCCCUGCUGGUAGUUGGUCGCCCCAUCUCUUUCCUUUUUGCCGGAGCCAGCAGUCCAUCCAACCGGUUGCUUGUCCUUGACAUGGAAUCAUUUUCCGGAAGGUUUGCAGCAAAACCCACCACAUUGUCUGUCUGUUCAACAACUACAGCAGGACGGCUCCGCUCAUUCACAACUGUGCCCUUAUCUGCUAUUCUAUCCUCUAGUCCUAGACCAUCUCUAAUCUCUGCGAAUGGGAGCAUAAUUGUCAAAUUUGACUUGAACAGGUCCAUCAAAUGGUUAUACGCGUCAACACUGGUGUCUCCAAGCCUAACUAAUUCCAUUGCAUGCAUAUACAUGGUGAAGUGCCUGUAUGAGAAGGGAUUGUUUUGCAUACUGUCUUUUUGGUACUGAGCUAGAUGAGCAGGCAGAACAUCUCUGGCAUCCUUUGUCCACCUCUUCACUAUAUGCUUCGCCGGAAUUUCCUUUGCUCGAAUAAAGUCUAGCACCUGAAAGAACAAGACAAGAUUCAUACGGUUCAGCUCGCAACUUUCAUCUUCAUCUUGCUGGCAUAACCUACUCAAUUUUCAAAAUUACAUAUCGCACGCCUAGUUCCGACCACGCCAAAAACAAAAGCUAUAUUAGACUCGCCCUCCAAAUGUAGGCAUCAAAUGAUCAAUUAAGUAAACUCAAAUUAAACCCCGCCGGUCAAAAAGAAUCCACAUAGUAGUUCAAAAAACCACUAACCUUCAGAACAUGGCUGCAAAGCAGCCCCAUAUGUGCAAACUGCCCACACUCGCACUCGAACUCAUCUCCACCGUCAAUCAUAGUCACCUUGUAAGAUACUCUACACCACUUUUCCCUUUUCUCUGCUUCGCUAUGUAUUGCUAGGUAUGUCUUGUGUUUCUCAAUCUCCUCCACCUGAUAAGCUCCACACUCAUACAAAAUCUCCCCAAAUUGUUCAAACAUUGCUCGUGUGUAUAUUUUGCUUGCAUGCCUCUCCACUGCAAGAUUUGCCCUCAUCAACGGCUUCCCCUGGGAAAAUGGCAAAACAUUGGAAUUUAAACCAUUUUUAUUUGCUAGUAACACCUUGAUAACUAGUACAAAAAUUUCCCCACUAAAUUAUGCACUUACGAUACGAGUGCGUUUCUCCUCAUAAUUCUUCUCUGAUUCGCGAUCGAACUGAAAUCUCAUGUAUUUCUGGACAAACAUGUGCAUUGGGCAUCCAGGAGGCACAUAAUUUUUGAGCACGUGGUUUGCGCUCUCACUCCGCUGUGUGCUCGUCAUUUUCGCACAAAAUACCCCCUUGAAGUAAGGCUUCACCCAUUUCUUACGAAUUUCAAACAACUGCGUCAUAUAAUCAUGACCUCUUAGCUUGUAUUUAUCCAGCAGCACCUCCCAACCUUUCUCAAAUUCAUCUUCAGUCAGCAUGUGGUUUAUCACUUUGUAAAAUUCAGCCCUGAAUUCACUUUUCUUCGUGUACAGCGGCCCAAGUGACUCUUUUGCUUUCUUCAACACAUGCCAUUUACACCACCUGUGUGCUGUAUUCGGCAUAACCUUGCUGAUAGCAAGCUCCAUUGCACAGUUCUGGUCUGAUAUAAGAAAUCAAAGUAGUGGCAAAUCAAUUAAUCAAUGCUCCCUCAUAACUACCAUUGAUGAAUAUCGAAAAACUAGAUAAAAUCUUUUUUUCUACCUGUGAGUAUAGUUACUGGUGCUGAGCCACCCAUCAUACGAAGGAACUCAGAAAAAACCCAUACAAAGCUAUCCUCAGUCUCAUCACGGACAAGCACACCCGCCAUAAUGACACUCUGGAAGUGGUUGUUCACACCAACAAACAAUCCAAAAGGCAUGUCAUACAAGUUUGUCCUGUAAGUUGUGUCAAAUGUUAUGACAUCCCCGAAGAAAGAGUACUGCAGCCUACUGUUCCCACUUGCCCACAUCAAAUUCCUAAUUCUCCCGUCACUGUCAGCUUGCACCCUAUAGGUGAAGUGCGGAUCUUUCGCACCAAUCUCCGCAAAGACAUCCAUUGUCUUCUUCACAUCAUCCUCUGCGUGGUCUCGGUUAAUUCUACCACAAAGACUGCGCAAAGACCUUUUUGUGAAUGGGACAUUCUCCAUCGAUCCAAAGAAACCUCCGAUUAUGCUAUACACCUUAGACAAAUUGACAUUGUUCUGCCGCAACUGCUUCACAAGAUCUCUUGUGUAUACAUCUAUAUGCUUGUGUGAUGGCCAAUGUAGUGUCUCGCCAAAGUUCGGCGACAAUGAGUGGUUGUGAGUAUCCUUGUGCUAUGCAAUAUACCAUCCAUUAUCUUCUGCCCGUAGGAGCCUUAUUAAAGCUUGGCAUUCGCAGCGGCAAGAUCUUGUAUUCUCAACCCCAGCUUUUCCCUGGGGAAAUGUACCACAAAAACACAAAAUUCAGUUAACGUCAGGUUUCAGCAACACCAGGAAAUUGAACACUGCAUACAGAAAACAAUUUCUACUAACCGAGCAACCACAGACGAUUUCUUGCAUGCAUUUAAUCCUCUCUACAUUUAGCCGACUCUUGCCAUAUCUGAUACCAAACCCCUUUUCCCAUGAAUACAAAUUGUAAAAGUCAUACGCCUCUCCUACAGAAUCAAAGGUCGUGCCAAUAGUCGGUGUGAUCACAUUGUCUCCUGGAUUCUCAGCAUAGUUUCGAACAACCUUCUCAAAUGCAGUGACACGGUUUGGGCAAGGCGGCCGACUUGGUGCAGCGGCACCGAUCCUCAACCUGCAGUUACAUAGCAUGAUUCACAUUUCGACAAAUUGUGCAUUAUUAUUGAUGCAAGCAUAAUUAAAAUUCACGUAGCUGCAACAAGUCACAUCAUGUAUUUGCCCUCAAUCAGGAAAAACGUCAAACGGAAAAAGCAUGAUGGAACUAUCACAAUUAAAAGGGCAGCACAACAUGGUAGAUGUGCCUGACCACAAUAUCGUUAUCAGUACAAGUUUCAUUUAUCAAGUUUGCUUUAAGAUCAGACACCACUUGUAGCAGUGUGGUUAGCAUCUAAAGGGGACUGAGUAAUACAAAUUCCUAACGAUGCACGGCAAAAAGGGGACUUGUAGCAUGGUAGAUUCUUCAAUAUAAUUAGAUGCUACUGAUAACCAGACUCAGUCCUCCAUCAUCUCAAGCACAAAAACAUACAACAGGGAACACAUGCCCUUUGCAAACUUUCAUUACUAUCCAGAGAAACAGGUAUUACAUAGAAAAAAAGACCUCGAUACAUGUCACGUCGCCCAGGUCCUAGAAACAGGGGAGACAUCCAUGUUUUCUACUUAUCUCAAUUGGACCUAACCUGUUAGGGAAUGUUUUUAUCAACCGCUCUUACUCCCAAAUUCACACCCGCAUCACUACAAUAUUUUGUUUUCACUCACAGCUACUGCCCAUCGAAUGAAUCAUGUAAACACAUGGGUGAAUUUCCUACUUCCAAACAAUGCAGAGACCUCACUGCCUUGCUUGUAAUAAUCUACAAAUACAAAUCACAAAUAAAGGAUGUUACCCAAAUAUGCCACUACUUCUCCUCAAAAGGAUCAAGCCCCUGUUAACUGCCUCAAUAUGCAACUACUAAUUCAGUUAUGAGGUUCCUUCUUUAGUCCAACCUCCUAAAAAAUUCCGUACCGUCUAUUUUCCUAAACCUUUUCAUUCCAGUCAAUAGCAACAACAUAUUCAGUUACUGGUAUGACACAACGAUCAUCGUCUUGCUCAGCCCAGAGGCACAUCAUCAAGUAAAGUACAUAUGCACGCCAUGAACUAACCUCUUAUUCCAUCCAGGAGCUCGUGGGUUCAUCUUCCCAGUAGAUAGCUCCGAGCUUGGUGGAGACACGUCCCUCCUCUCCUUCGCUCCUUCACUGAGCAUCAACAUCUGCGCCUCCCCUGUAGCUGCCGGCGGAACCUCAACCGCCAACUGAUGUCCUUCCGUCACCUGCGCCGCCACCAUCUUCACAUCGACCGCAUCCGCCCGCUCCGGUGCCGGCACCAAACUCUCCCCAACUUCCUCCAGGGAGUUAGAUCUGCCCGACGCUCACGCAAAUCCGCUCAGAAUCACCACAUUUACGGUUUACAAAUCUCUAGAAGAAAGCCACAUAUCUAGAGUACAUACCCGUCUAUAGGUUGCAUCAGGAACUCCAUCCUUGUCGCCCUCACCUCCGCCGUCGGCGCCGCCGCUCACCACCAGGCCUUCGAUAAUUAGGUCAGCUUUACCCUAGCCGAAGCCACCAGACCGCGCAGUUGGUUCCUACCAUGGGCCCAGCGAACGGAAAAGCUCACAUUCGGGGCCACGGACUAGACGUCGAAUUACUGUUCUAAUCCACGGCCCAACUCGUCAACCACAAACGGACGUUUAUCCGCCCGUGAAACUGCGGCCCACCACCCACGCCUGCCAUCUACGUAUUUCGUGACAGUGGACAUUUAUUAACUCGCCAAUCCCUCCCGUAUUUAGAACUGGCGCAUAUCUCCAUGCUUCAGCCAACGCCCUAGAUAACGGGCUCAUAUGAGCUCGCGCAUAGAUACUCCGCGUCUGCUCAUAAUAAAGGAAUCAACAAAUCCACGUGAUUCUGAUCACCGGCGUGUUUCCGUUCGCGGGACUUUGUGACUGACUGACCGUGGGAGGACUGAUCAGUGGACUAAUUAAUUCAUAGGAAAGCAGCAGGAAAAGGAUACGAAAAUACUUUAAAAUAAUAUAGUAGUACGUGGGGUUCUUCACACCCCAAAAGAGAGUACGAGUGGCCUAGUGAUCAGAUAACGACUCCGUUGUCCAUAGCAGAACUCCACUUUCUUGAGCUAAACAAACCUAUCUCCUGUGCGGUUUAAGAUUUCCUUUCCGGUAGUUUAUACAUACUGCAUGCAGCCGCCUUGCUUGUUUUAAAUGUUUCAGUAUCGACGACAAAGAACACGAUUUACAUGAGUACACAGUUUGCACGUUCGUAACUUUAGUGCAGCGUUACCUCAAACAAAAAGCAAAAAAAGAACCCGUAGUGCAAGGUUACUCGAAUUAGACUAUCAAUUAGGAGGUAAUAGCAUGCAGCAUGUGUAUUUCAUGCUGUUGGUGUAAUGAGUAACUAAUUAACAAACAUGUACUCCACAAACUAGGGCUUUGAUUUCUAAAUAUGGUAUUCAUAGUUUAAAUUUGUUCCUUGGUAAAUCUCCUUUCUCCUCCCCUUCAUCUCUCUUCCUCUGACCCCUCACUUGAGAGUCGCCCAGGACUGCCUGGCCCGAUCCAACUCCUCGUCCGGCGGCACUGCCGGCCGGCGAUGGCUACAGAGAGAUGCUUAGGUCCUCCAUGUGCAUAUUAGGAUAGUAGAAGUCCUAGUUAGUCUUGGCUUUAUGUCAAGGUUUGGCGCGAUAUGCCAACCUCUAGCUUGCGAGCGGCGUCGUUUGGUGGUCGUUGUUAUCUUCUUCCUUAUCCCCAUGGUGGAGGGAAGAGGAGGGGCGAUGGAUUAUCCCCCUCAAUAAGUUCGCUCCGGUGCUAUGAUAAGUGGUGGAGGUGGUGAGGUCGCUAUUAUUCUCUAGCCGUCAAGGAGGUGGCAAGAAGAGAUGUGGCGGAUCCAAACGCUCCUUGCCUUGUCGCUGUUCUGUUGCAUCGGAUCUUUGCGACUGGCACAGGCUUGGUUGGUCCCUAUGCCGCAGGAAGAGGUUUCCCAAGUUGCCUUACUUUUGCACGAAGAUCCAGAUGCAAGGUGGUGAAGAUGUUUUUGGGGAUAGAGUGGAUCUUCGACGACUGCUUUGGAUUAUCCUAUGCAUCCACUGCGGCGGUCGAUGUUUAAUCCGUUCCAACACGUGGCCGAUUUGCUUGGCCAAAGGGCGGACAAUUUUCUUCCUCCCGGCCACGAUGACACAAGGGAAGUAGUGCAUCCUUUAAGUAGACUUCAUGGUGUGCUGUUGUGAAGACUUCAACGAACCAAGUGGUUUCGUACCCGGUGCUGACCAAGUUUUUUCUGUGAGGAGGGUUUUUUGGACCUGAUUGCAUUAUGUAUCCGUGUUUUGGGGUCCUUCUCGUAAAGUACGGGGACUUAGUUGCUAUUCUUUCUAGUUCGGUUCAUGCCAUAAGAUUCUAUGUACCUUCGCUUUGAUCAAUAUAGCAUCUGGGUCCUUUGAGACCCUUUUUUGUUAAAAAAAUCAUUCAUUACAAUUUAAACUAUGAAAAGAAUCUGCAAAAAAGUAAAAGGAAAGAAACAACUUAACAUGAUACAAUUAAAUAUAAUAAUAUUUGCAACCAACUUAGAAGGCUCUAAUGGAUGAUGCCUACCCAAUUUUAAAACUUGACCAGCGGUCCAACUGAAAAAACCUCCAGCCGACCUCUUCUUUUAUUUUUAAAGAUGUUUUGGUCUUUUAGCAAAAAAAAACCAAAAAAUAUUCAAAAAAUGGUGUUAAGACAAAAAUAAACUUUUGAGCUCAAGCAACCAGAUAAUGAAGACCCAUUACACACUUGGCUAGCUACAUUUCUGAUUUAUUGAGGUAAUACAUCUUAUGUGUAUUUAUUUGACCAGAGAGCAAUAUUAUUGAAAAAAUGGCUUAAAUAUUUAGCCUUUUCAUCUCCAAUGAACCAGCUAAACCGAUUGUCCGACUGGGUGAAAAUUUGAACUGACAACCUCAUUGAUUCAGUUGUCGGUCCCCUUUUUUAAAUUAUGGUUGCAUGGUAACAUGCUCUCAUGUUCACAUCAUAAGAAUUAUGGACCAAGAUAGUAAAUUUAUUAGUUACAAUAUUUUUGAUAACAUGGAAGCAUGCACAUGCAACCAAAUAGCUAUUUAAUGACUUGUAUCAAGGUUUAUCUAUGUAGGAUAUAUGGAUUAUAGUUAACACACAUGGAUGUCUAGUUAUUAGUUGCAAAACAUUCCUUAAGUUUGGGUCAUACUCUAGUAGAUGCACAAGAAUGUUAUGAACUGAGCUUGGGCAGCAUGAUGGAGCUACCGGACAAGCUCGGACGGCUGCGAUCGCGACCAAGGCGCAAGUAGAGAGGGAUGGGGAAUUGUUUUUGGCGCCAACUGCUAAAAUAUGAGUAAUGCUAUAUCCAUGGGUGGGCCAGGGGGGAUUUACGGGCUGGUCGGUUGGGCUAGCACUUAAAUAUAGGGUUUAAUUAGGAGAAAUUAUUUAUUUAUUUAGGUCAAUUCCCUAAAAAUAGCUAUUUAGGCCAAUAAAAUUAAGACAUAUCAGUUUUUCCCUAAUUAUCACCUAAAUCUUCCGAUAAACUUUGUAGGUGGAGCAUUAUAGCCAAAAUAUAUAGAGGAUCUCUAUCCAUUCAGGAAUACAGAGAAUGAAAGGGGAGAAUAUGAGAUGACACUACCCUUCACAUGCUACAUGCUCCAACUUCUGAAAAGUUAUAUUUAAAUGUUUUGAAAAAUUCUUUUUUUUGUGGAUGCGCACAAGACAUGUGACUACUAAACCUAAAAAUCCCAAAAAUUCGAAACACACAUUGAGAAACAAAAAAAGACAAAAUCUAAAAUAAAUUGUUUCAAAAGAAGGCAAAACAUGAAUAGUGUCAGAAAUUACACUUUUCACAUAUGGAUAUGUCCUUUUUAUUUCUCAACAUAUAUUUCAAAUUUUGAUCUGAAUUUGUUAGGGUUAUAGAUAUAUGUCUUCUGAAAUCCACAAAUUUCUUUUAGAAUUUUGCGGAACAUAUUUAUGUGAUUUUCUAAAUUUGUAUCAUGGGAACUUAUGAAGGGUGGCAUCACCUGACAUUUACCCGAAAUGAAAGACAUGUUUUAGUGUCUCUUCAAAAAAAAUUAGAAUAGAGAGCCAUAGUGAGGAUUUACUAGAAUGAGAACAUGUGGUAUUUGAACCCGAGCUCACAUGCUCUAUAAUGAACAGUAAAAUAAAAAAAUAAAAAAAAUUCUGACUUUAUUGUGGUAAACAUUGAUGAACACUUCAACUGUGUGCAAAAUUUUGUGAUGAAAUCACAAUCGCCUAGGUCUGGGCAAAAAAGACAAAAUCAAUGCUUUAGAAUAACUAUUAUUUGGAAGCAUUUUGGAGGAUCGAUUUUUUUUCAGCCCUCCACGAUUGUCAUUUCGUCACAAAAAAUUGCACCCAGUUAAAACAUUCAUCAAUGUUUAUCACAGAAAAAAAUCAGAAUUAUUUUAAUUUGCUUACUGUUUUCUUCGGAUUUUACUGUUCCUCGGGGAGCAUGUGAGCUAGGGAUCAAAAGAGCACUUUUUGCUAGAAUGACUCCAUCUUCUCUAUAUAGAGAUAAAACUUUUAGACGAUGAGGGGGUUAGGAUUUGCUAUACAAUUUUUUUGCGGGAUGAUAUGAAUUUGUAGUAAUCGUGAUUUAUCAAUAUAUUUUUUUGGAAAGAGGAGGCAAAAGACUUGACUCAUUUAUUAAUUAAGAGAGAAGUAAUAUAGAGGGUAACCAAGAACUCAAAAACAAAAAGAUUGUUACUCUACCGGCAUCAAGUUACUCAAACGCUUCGCCUUUGCCAGAACCCGAAGCUUUGCUUCAUUCCUUAAAAUGUAAAAGGUGAUUUACGGUGCUGUAGAUGUUUUUUGGGAAGACCCUCAAGUUUCUCAUUUUCCAGAUUGACCAAGUGAUGAGCAUCACAAGGGACGCCAAUGCCUUGCUAGUUGUGGCAGUUGAGUCCAUCAAUCACCCACGGAGUGAUAUAUAAGCCCAUUUUAGGUUGGGUCGAGGUUAUCGAGACCCGAGACCCGACCAAGCUUUGAUCAACCUCCGAACACACAUUUCAGACAACUGGAGACAUAUAUGAUGCAUGCACGUAUAGAAAAAGGUGAACCUCCCAGAAAAAAAAUCUUAUUGUCAUCAAUCCAUACCAACGUUGCACAUAGCAAGUUAGAUUCCUCGGAAACAAGAUCGAAGAAACAGACAUCAGUGCAUCUUAGAUAACUCGGAAUGAAGAUUAACUGAAGAAACACAGCAGCAGCGCAUCUGCCUGCGUAAGCCGACGAGCACCUGGAAAUGAAGGACGAGGAAGUCAGCAGGGCACCCCCUCACGAAACGAUAACGCCCAGCAUGGCAGCGUGCUCUCUUCCCCCGUCCAUGCCGGAUAUCAGAGCCCUCCGUGACACCAAUCCCCGCCCCCCUCGCGCGACGCGCACCAACCAGUUCCUGCUUUGCCCACGUCGACCCAGUCCGGCUGCCACAAAGCCGCCACCGCGCGUAGCCACCACCCCCGCUCCGUGCGCUCCCGUGGCGACAGGAGCUCCGCACCAACCAAUUCAGUGGUCAACCUCGCCGUCCAGUCGUCCAGGUCUACACCAACCCGCUGCCUCACACCUACCUACUACUUGCGCUGCCUAUUUAAUCCCUUCCCCUCCCUCCAUUCCCCUCCAAGAAGAGCCACAGCUUCAUCUGCAGCUACAGCUCCUCUUCGUCUUCGACACACAAGUAUUUUUUCAGGACAAAGAUCAAUCCAGAUACACAUACACCUGCCGACGUUUAACUAGCUUACUUCCAGAAUCCAGAUACACAUACACCUGCCGGCGUCCAGCUAGCUCACUUGCGAGCUGUAGUACGUCGCUGCAUAUUCCAAUGGAGUGCGAGAAUGGGCAAGUCGCCGCCAACGGCGAUGGCUUGUGCGUGGCGCAGCCGGCGCGGGCCGACCCACUGAACUGGGGGAAGGCUGCGGAGGAGCUCUCGGGGAGCCAUUUGGAUGCGGUGAAGCGGAUGGUGGAGGAGUACCGACGGCCCGUGGUGACCAUGGAGGGCGCCAGCCUGACCAUCGCCAUGGUCGCCGCGGUGGCUGCCGGCAACGACACCAGGGUGGAGCUGGACGAGUCCGCCCGCGGCCGCGUCAAGGAGAGCAGCGACUGGGUCAUGAACAGCAUGAUGAACGGCACCGACAGCUACGGUGUCACCACCGGCUUCGGCGCAACCUCUCACCGGAGGACCAAGGAGGGCGGCGCCCUGCAGAGAGAGCUCAUCCGGUACGAAUUAAACCGCAGAACCAGUUCUACUUCUUGUUAAGCAUUUCUGUUAGUAGUUAUGUGUACCAGACUAUGAAUUGAGUUAUGGAAACCUUAUUUUUUCGUGAUUGCUUUUGAGUUCAGAUUCCUUAAUGCGGGAGCCUUCGGCACCGGCACCGACGGUCACGUCCUGCCUGCCGCGGCGACGAGGGCGGCGAUGCUCGUCCGAGUCAAUACCUUGCUCCAGGGAUAUUCAGGCAUCCGCUUCGAGAUCCUCGAGACGGUCGCCACACUUCUCAACGCCAACGUGACACCAUGCCUACCGCUUCGGGGCACGAUCACCGCAUCCGGUGACCUCGUCCCGCUUUCGUACAUCGCGGGCCUGGUCACCGGCCGCCCAAACUCCAUGGCGACUGCUCCAGAUGGCACGAAGGUUAAUGCCGCUGAGGCAUUUAAGAUCGCCGGCAUCCAG
rnacentral:lncRNA from 1 species